rnacentral:lncRNA from 1 species
CGGGUUGCACAUGGGCAUGAUCAAUACGGCGCCGUUUUGGGGCCACUGAAACAGGCCCCUAUAUAUGCCCAAUUUUGGAACCCUAAAACACCAUUCCUCUGCCAAUCCUCAAGUGCGCCGCAGCUCUUCUUUCACUGCCGUUCUCCCAUCUCAGACCAGACACCAGCAAAAAGAGGAUGCCCGACGACUCUCUCGACGGUAAGUCCUCUUUUUCUCCUCUUCUUCGUUUAUUUUUGUUGUUUUUUUAAAAAGAAGCAAAAGAAAAGAACAAGGUAAAUUAAAAAAACAGUAAAAGAACAGAGAAAGAAAACAAGAUCCCACCUUCAAAAAUGUUUCUUUCUGUCUAUUUUCUUUUUGAUUUAGGUAUAAAAAUUUUGCUAACCCCCAUUACAGAUUCCAUUUGACUUUAAAUAGCCAAAAUAACAAAAAGAAAAAACCCCCGAAAACCCCUUUUCCACCCUUUACUGUUCGUGGUUCGAUUUGUUGCAGGUACGCGUGUGUGGCGUGCACGGAGUGCUGAACGUGGGGCGGUUUGGGAGGCUGCCGAACGUGGGGCAUGCGGCGCUGACUGCUGCUAACCCCUUAGGGUUUCUACAUUUGAAAAUUGUUACGGCUAUGUAUUGGGCCAGUGUUGUAUUUGGGUUUGUAUUGGGCUUGUUAUUAUUUGGGUCUACUUUGGACUGGUGUAAUGAGUAUUUGGGUUGGUCUUAUUUUGAAUGGGCCGGGCAAAAAUGGGCUAUUACAACUCCAAUUUUUCGACUAAAUAAUAGAAACACAGUAAUUACUAGUACUUUUGGUCCUCGUGGAUACGAUAUUCCCUACUCGCCAUAACUAUACUAUUACUCAAUAGGUGUGCUUUCCUUAGUUGUAUUUAUAGUUAGUUUAGUGACAUUACCAUUCCUUUUGUCGACACCUGUCUAAAAUCAAACACUUUUUGAUUUUGAGAUUUUAAAACAAUGGUAUACUUUCAGUUUAGUCCCUAGAAUAUGUUUAAAAUCUAUAUACCUAUAUAUGGCACGUGGGCACACCAACCAACUUCCUUUCUUUUUCCCAUUUUAUAAAAUGGCUAAUUUUCAAUUUCAGUCCUUUCUAAAAUGCUUAAAUUUGAAAUUUAAUCUUUAUAUAUUAAUUUCUAACAGUCUUUAUAUUUUUAUAAUGUUAUUAAUUAGUUCAAGUAGUUCAUAUCGUUAAAUUUUCAAUUAAAAUGUUACAUGGUUUUAUAUAAAUUGAAAGCGGAUUUUUAAGUCCAAAAAGUAAAAGGAUUAAAUUCUUGAAAAUAAAAGCAAGAAUACUAAAUUCUAAAUAUGUGAAGUACAAAUAUUUAAAGUUAUGAUUGUUUGAGUUGAGAUCUAAUUGGGUAUUUGAUCCAGAAAUAUGCACUUUGAUACCAACAUGCAUGAUACCAGUGUGGUUUAAACUGCAUCACAUUCUGAAAAUAAAUCUUAGAUUGGCUUAAACUAUUUAAAAAUAGCUUUAUCUACGAGGUUUAAUUGGGCUAAAAUACCUUUAUUAAAAAAAGGACAAAUAUAAAAUUUAAUAUUUCUAGGACAUGAAGCACCAGUGGUCUAGUGGUAGAAUAGUACCCUGCCACGGUACAGACCCGGGUUCGAUUCCCGGCUGGUGCAUCAUAGGAGCUGUGAUGAGUAUUGCGGUGUCUUGAUGGUUAGGGUCAUCAUAAUCGUCUGAUUUCAGAUGUUAGCUGCGCUGCUGAGCUUCCUAAGCCUUUUUUAUAAUUCGUACCAAAAUCUAUAUAACUAUCUAUAUUGAAAAUGUCCAUGAUGAUGAACUAAAUUUUAGUUCAGUUAAUAUUGAACUCGUUAUUAGUAUAAAAGAAAUUAUGAAAAUCUAAAAAAAGCAAAAUAUUAUUACAAUAAAUGUAGUGGUUUACAGGGUAAUUUAUACAAAUGUUCAUUCAAUUAUACUCGAAUUUUCGUUUUGGUCACUCAAUUUUAAAAAUUUUCAAUUUAGCUAUCAACGCUUGUAUUUAUUCUUGUCUUGGUCACUCGUUGCAUUGAUAAGAAAAAUAAUGGCAUGCUCUUUUUCUAAACUGAUAUAAUAACAAAUUUAGUUCUCAAUAUUUACAUAUUCUAUCGAUUUAAUCUUAAUUCUUAAUAAUUCAAUCAAUUUAACCAUUCAUAUUUGUAAAUUCUAUCAACUUGAUCUUAACCAAUGUUUUGAGUUUUUAAAUUUGAGGUAUUGGAUUGAGCACGCUGAUUUUGGAAUCAUAUAGCUACUUGUCAGGAUUGUAGGCCAAAGUCUUUUGCUAGUCGCAACUUGCUGUCUAAUUCAAGUUUAUGUUCAACCUCAAAGCUCCUCUCAAGAAACUCAACUUGAGUCGCUAUAAGCCGACUUUUCUUUCCACUUGGUGGCUAGCACGAUCAUCAUCUCUUCCAUUAACAUACUUAUAUUCCAUGACUAGCUUCUCACUUGAUUGAUUAAAUCACAAGCAAAACAGCAUAAAAAUAAGAUGAUUUUACUAUAUAAAUACCAAUCAUCCAAUCUUUUUUACAAACUUCAUUAUCGAAUGUUCUCAAGCAAGGGAUAUACGUGUAUGUAGUAAAUUUAAUAUCCAAAUGCUAAGACAACACUAACUGCAAGAAGCGGUCAACGUUUCCAUUUUAGUACUUCAUCUCGGUAAUUCCCUUAAAUUCUUCUCUGAUUGUUUAUUUCAGGGUUUUUUUUUCUACUCUUGAUAUCUAAUUGUCAUCUAAUUUUCGGGUGUUCUUUGAAACCAGAAAACAGUAAGCUGAUUUUUUAUUUUCUUUCUUCAAACCUUUUUAAAGGGUUUAAUGAUCAAAUUUAUAAAAUUUGUAAAUGCGAAGUGAUAAAUUUAUUGAAUUAUGUAGGAUUAGGGUCAAAUUAAUAAGAAUACGUAAGUGUUGAAGAUUAAAUGUGUUAUUAUACCAUUUAAAAAAUAUCGCAUUAUUUUGUUGUCAAUUUAAUCAUGAGUGAUCAAAUGAUGUGUGUUAAAAGUAACAUGUUUUAAUCUUGUUCUUAAUGUGUUUUUGGGUGAUUAAUCGAGGUUUAAUUGUGAAUUUUAUGCUUCUAGUCCUUUAAAUUCACGUUUCUAUACUUAGGAGAACAUUUGAGAGCAAAAUGAGCGAAAAUCGAAAAAUCGGAGAAAAUUUUAGGGGUCACACAGGCUGGGCCAUUCCACACGGGCUGGAUACACAACCAUGUGUCAGACCGUGUCAAAACGCAAACUGCACUCUAAAAACACGAAAAAUCAAAAUAAAAACUUUUAUGCUUAAAUUAAAAAUUAUUAUUAUUAUUUUCAGAAAUUACCAGUGCAAACAUAUUAAAAUUUUAGAGAGAAAAAAUACAAACCUUUUAAAAGAAAUUUCUUCCGCACUUUGGACGGGUUAGUAUAUAUUAUCUUAUGUAUAUAAAAAAUAUAUAUUUUGAAAGUUUAUUGAAUUUUAUGAUGUGCAUAAUAGAAAAUUUUGAAAUGUAUAUACCAUAAAAUUUAUCAAUUUAAAUAAUUUGCAAUCAAUUGUCACAAAUGCAUUUAUUUUUAUUGGAAUCGACUUAUAUAAAUAACAAAAUCGAAAAGUAGAGAAUAUUGAAUACACAAAUAUUUAGAUGAAAAACUCCCUUAAAGAGGAUAAAAAGAUAUAAACAAAAGAGAUUUUGACUUUUUACUAAAUAAGUAAACAAACGAUAAUACAAUAUGGAGAAAAUAAACUUAAAAUAUCGCUGGAGUAUUCAGACUUUAACUGGAAAAGUUAAUAGAGUUUAAUUGGAAGAAAAACCCUGCUUUAUGUGGAGAAUACAUCACCACGUUGUAAUGUCCUCAUUCGCAUUGUCACGACGUGGUUCGUCGUCACAACUUAGAUAUGCUAAUUUCUUUUAUUGAAAUAUGUGGUUAAUAAAUGUUUCAUUUAUAUAGUAAAAAUAAAUAAGAAUUCAAUAAUUAAAAAAAGUGCACUUAAAUUCUACUCAUAUUUUAGUUUUUAAAAAUAAUUUUUUAUUUAUUUUCAUUUAACUAAUAUUUUUUAAUUUUCAAAAUUAAAUAUAAAAAAUAUUUUUAAAAAUAAGAUACAAAUAUUUUUAGUAAAAAUUUAAAUAUAAAUAUGGGCGGAUAGUUUUUCUAAUUUCAAAUUACAUAUAAAUUGGAAAAUCAGAAAGUGGCUCUAAAACAACAGAUCACUCAGUGUGUGGACUCCCCAUUUUCUCUUCAAAAAGAAAAACAAACACUGUCGAAAAUUUAGGGUUUUCGAUUUCAAUCUCAAUGGAUCAAGAACUAGACCCAUAUAUCUGCGGUUGCAUUAUUGAAUUCCUUGUCAGGUACUCACCCGACGAUAUGCAUGUAAAGAAAGUUAUUGAAGCUUUCCCGCCAUUGAAGCCCAGGCCUCAGUUGAAAAAAGCCGUGCUCCUCCGUACCAUGCGAACCGAAGUCUACGCCGGUGACGUUUCCGAGAAAAUACUCGACGCUUUGGAGAAGAUUGGGCGCAUUGACAGCAACCAAGGGCUCCCGAUUCCCGAUUCCAUGAAGGAAGCCUACUGCGCCGUCGCAUUGGAAUGCACCGUCAAGUACUUGCCCGGAGAUACUGACACGUGCGGCGGCAAGUACUUGGAUGCGGUGGAUAGGAUUUGGAGGGGCCGGAUUCAAGAUCUGGAAAGAUCCAAGGCGUCCGAUUUGGUUUUUGAUCAACUUAGAAACCGUCGAUUACAAGUGGAGGCUGCUGCCACCGGGGACGAGGAUGCGGUCCGCUGUUUAAGUGCAACCAAUACUCGAGGUUAUGCCAUAGUUUGCCUCAGGCGUUAUCUACGCGAAGCGAGUGGGUCAAUGAAGCCGCCGGUCCUUGAACAAGCAUGCUUGAAGCUUGGAAGGUACUUUACUUAAUAGUUUCACUAUGUAUGCAGUAUGGCUAAAUCUAGUUCUAGCUAUCAUUUUGGAAUCAUUUAUGAUUUUGUCUAUAAACCUAUGGUAAAUGCUGUGAUAUUGAACUGCACUUAGUCCUCUUUUAAGCUUUUAAGUCAACAUUAGAAAUAUUGUGUGCAUGAUAACCCAGAAUUAGGAAUCUUGAAGCAACUAGCUAGGAAAUGAUCAGAUAGGUUUAUAGAAAUUGCCAGAAGUGCCCAAAAUUUAAGGCUAUAAUGGUACCAGAGUUGCGAUGAAAACUAAAUACGAGGUCUUGAGUUUGAAACAUGUGGUAGUUGCCCCUUUUUAAGGGUGACAAAGCCUUAAUGGUUGCGCAUUCAAAGAGGACAAUAUCAAUUCGUAUGAGUAGGAGGUAAGAGGUUUUGGGUCCGAAACUUUAAGAACACUCACUUUUAAGUGUCAGUCUUGAGGAUGGGGCGGCCCAUAGCAUCCAAAGAGGAAAAUGUUGAUUUGUGCAACCAUAGAAGAAAAGAUGGGUGGCAAUUGACCUGGCAACCCAUUAUGCCAAACAAGAGCUAGGAUUUAAAAGUUUUUAGAAAGAGAACUUGAGUUUACAUUUGUCUUAUUGAUUAUAAUAUAUUCUUUUACCUUAUUAUUUUAUAAAACUUAUCGCGUGAUAAUUUUUUUGCAUGUGGCAAAAGAUAUAUUAAAAUAAUUUAUUUGAUACAUCUUAAAAACUAUUUAUAAUUCAAUUAUAAAUAAUUUUCAAAUAAGAUGUUUAUGUUUUAUAUCCCUACAAUUCUAUGUAUGUUGAUUCCCCCAAACCAAUGUAGGUAAUAUAUGACAUGAUGAUUAUCAAAGGCUGACCCUUUAAGGAGCAACCUAAAGGGGUUGUUCAAAGUAUUUUUUGGAUUUGUCCCUCUGUGUGUAUAAAGAGAGAGAGAGAGAGAGAGAGAGAGAGAGAGAGAGAGAGAGAGAGAGAGAGAGAGAGAGACUUUAUUAGUAAAAUUGUAAUGAUCCAAUUUUCUGUCGGUGUUGGAAAAGUUGGUUUAAGGAUUGAAUUUAUUAUAUCGGGUUGUCUAAAAAUUUUAAUCAAAUAGUUAUGAAGUACGGAAAUUAGAAAAUAGAAAUAUUAGUAAUUAAUUUAGAAAUAAAAUAGUACAGUGGCUAAAUUGUUGGGGUUGUGAAAUUGAUGGCAUAAAUGUAGAGAGACUCAAGAGAGAAAUUGACAUGGCCUUAUGUAGUAAUUAAAUCAAGAAUUAUUUUGUGUUAGUGGAGUAAAGUGAUCUAAACCAUUCAUUGCCAUUAAUUUUCCCAUGCAUUAAUGAGGGUCAUUAGAUUAAAAAAAUGUUUGAGAUAGAUGUAAAGAUUGAACGUGAAUUAUGAUGUUAUGAUGUUGAGAUUGAAUUGUUAGCUAUAAAUGAUAAUUCGGAUAUGUUUGAUUAUGUCUUGUUGAAUUUCGAUUCAUUUGGUAAUUUCAUCGGGUGUAUAUAUACAAAUAGCACUGUGAUAUGAUUUUGCAAUGGUAUUGUGAUGAGGAGCAUGCGAAAUGUUAUGUUCUGGUAUAAUAAUAAUAGAAAGUGAUAUUGAGAAAUUGAUAUUUGUAUAAUUUGAUAAAACAAGUUGAAACUGUGAUUAUUACGUGUAAUGAUAUUAUGAGAUUAUUAAAUCGCGCUAUUAAAUGAUGCUAAACAUGAUUAGGGUAUAGUUGGCAUUCCAUAAGAUUCGUAUAUGUUGUUGGUGGGAGCAUUUGGGCACUUUAAUGCGAUUCAUUCUGACACUUCGGUGUGAUCCAUUCUGGCAUCUUGGUGGGAUUCAUUCUAUGGAGUGUUAGGGGGAUCGGUGCAUUUAUGCUUGAGCAACACUUCGGUGCUUAUUGAGUGUUAGAGGAUUAAUCCAUGUACUUGUACUUAUGUUUACAUCUUGUUAAUAGGGGCUAAAAGUAAAUAAUGACAUGUAAUUCUGAUUUUGAUAAUGCAAUGUUAUUUUGAUUCUGGUAAUCGAAUGUCAUCUUAAAUUUAAAUAUGAUAUGUGAAAUUGGUCAUGCAGAUAAUGAAUAUGAAAUGAUUCUGAUAACGAGAUUGGCAUUAGGAAUAUGAUAUCAUGAUGUUGAUAAAAUGCUAGAUGGUAGAAAUGAUUUAAUGAUUUGCAAUAAAGUAUUAGUAGCAUAUUUAUAAGUUUAAUGUUUUUAUGAUUGAAUUUAAAUUAUGUUAGUAUCAAUGAGUAUACAAUACCCAGUGUACGAAUUUGUUUGUUUCCGUGUGCAGGCUUAAUUUAGGUUCUUGAAGUGAUCAUGAGCCUAACAGCAUUCAAGACACCAACUGUCAAUCUUUUGUAAUGUGCUUACCUUGAUAGGUCAUAUACAACAUGUAUCUAGGUCAUUAAGAAGUAUUGUGGAGUUUUAGUGACGUUUUGAACAUGGCUUAGAUGUUUUGGAUGAUUUUAGUAUUACAUAUCGUAUGGUCUUGAUAGGUUACAUACAACAUGUAUCUAGGUCAUUAAGAAGUAUUGUGGAGUCUUAAUGACGUUUUGAACAUGUCUUGGAUGUUUUGGAUGAUUUUAGUAGUACAUAUCGUAUGGUUAAUGACUAAUUUUGCACAAGUUGAUAGUUGAUUCAAAUAGAUUAAGUAUGAUGCAAUGAAUGUCAUGAUUUAAGGUUUUUGAAUGUAGUUUUACUUGUCAAAUAGGUGUGCAUUGGUUUGGUGAAGUUUUGGUGUGAAUUAAGUAGCGUUAAGACAUUAUUUUGCAUGCUUAUAUUGCACUUUUGACAUUUUAUCAUUUGGUCUCCAGACACUAAGAACAAAUUGAUCAUUUCAAGUAUUUUUGAGCAAUGGUCUUGAACAUGUCUCGAGACAAAUUAGAGGUGUUCAUGGGUCGGGUUAGUUUCGGGUUGAGAUUAAACCUGAUAGUAAUAUAGCAUAUGCUUGCUCAAGUCCGGUUCAACUUAGAAUAUAAGUAAAUUUUGGCCAAAUACACUUAUAUUUGUAGAUGGCUAGCUCAAGUUUAUUUUAAAUCCAUCCAUAUUGUUUUUUAAGAUUUAAAAAAUAUUUAUAUUUAUAUUUAUUUUAAUAUUUAAUAAUUUUACAUGUGGUCAUCUUAAAUUUUUUAAUGUUUACAUUAUAGUAGUAUUAUAUAUUAUUAUAGAUUUAAUUUUUAUGUGUUAUAAAUUAUAUAAUAUGUAAAAAUAAAAUAUUAUAAACUUAAAAAAUGAGUUGGGCUUGGGCCUUUAUUGUUCAAGCUCAAGCUUGACUUAUAUUUUAAAUGGGUUUAAUUUUUUUGUCCAAGUUAAUUUUUUGGGCUUAUCUAAAUUUUAAGUAGGCCUUUGGGCUUGAGUGGGUAGUUUAACCCAUGAACAAGUUUAAAAUGUGCAUUGACGUGUCUUGAAACAAUCAAUACUUUGUCUCGAGACUACUAAAUAUUGAACCUAAAAUGAUUGUCUCGUUUUAGGUCUUGAGACAAGAAUCCCUUUGUCUCGAGACAUCCAAACAUUGAAGUUAAGGAUUUGUAACAUGGGAGCUAUGUCUUGAGACAUGAAUUUGACAAUGUCGAAUUUGACACAUUGAAUUCGAAUUCGAAUGAUAGCUGCGUAUUUGUUUCUGUUUAACCUUGAAACACUUUAAAUGAGAUCACUUUAACAUUGUCUAAUCAUGUUUAUGUUAUAGUUCUAAGCGUAUGGGAAUCAUUAUUAUUGUUUGAUCAUGUUUAUGUUAUAGUUCUAAAUGUAUGGGAAUUAUUAUGAUUGAAUGCUAAAUUAUUUGAUAAAAUGAAUUGAGAUAGCCUAAGUUACUCCGGCAAUAUAAUGUGAUGCCAUGCAUUUAAAUCCAAUGUGGGGUAUCAUAAAAAUGGUUCCUAAAUCAUUCUUUGAUUCCUAAAUUGACUAUUAAAGGUUUUUUUUUUUGCCAGUAAUCAUUCAUAAAAUUUACUUUUAUUAUAUAUUUUGGCUCAAAAUGUAAUAGUUCGAACAAACGAAAUAGUGACAUAUGGUGUAAUUUUAACGUAUAACUACUGAAGUAACUCCUAUAUAAUUGAAAUGAUAAUAAAAUAUGAUUUUGAAGAAAAUAAUUUGUAAAAAAAAUAUUAAUUAGUAAAAUUGAAAACCAAGUAAAAAAUACUUUUACUGACAAAAAAAGGGAUCAUUUCCUACUCUCCUCUGCAGUUUCAUUUCCAAACCCUAUACUGCCAUUGAAAUACAUUUCAAACUCCGAAAGGCAACUGAAAACCUUGGCAAGAUAUAUAUAUAUAUAUGUGUGAAAAAGCCCAAAAAGCACCUUUCCAGGUAGAACAAGAACAAUAAGCACCUCCAUCCCACCACCAGCAGCUUUGAAGAAACGAACAAUUCCACCAAAAAGUAACUUCAAUUUCAUGACAUCUUCAACUCAUCUAUUUUCACCAAUUUCAUCACCUAUUACGCGUUUCUUUAUUUCAUUUAACAACAAUUGGAUUUUAUCUAUCAACUCAUCUACAAUAUUCUCGUUCUUCUCUUUAUUCCUUUAUUAUUCAUCCUUUCAACCCAUUGAAACAAAAAUCACACCCAUUCUACAAAUACAAAUGAAUACAUAUACCUCUUUGUACUAAUUGCAUACAGAUAGAUCUAUUUUAUUACUUAGUUUAUUAUUUUAUUUUAAAAUUAUAUUAUAAAGGAAUUGACCCACAAAUUAACCAUUGUGUCUGUUUUAAUUCUAUCACGUUCUCAUCUUUUUCUAAUUUAUCUUAAUUUAAUUUCAAAUUUAUUUUCAUAAAAUAUUAAAAAUAUAAAAUGAUAUUUUAAUUGACAAUUAUUUAAUAUAAUUAAAAUAAAAUUUUAAUUUCAAUUAAAAUAUUGCAUCAUUAUGCAUAAUUUGAAUGUUCUGAGAAUUUUUGAGAGGUUUCUAUUUUUAUUAGGUUUGUGUUGCUUUUUUAUUCUGCAUUGUAAAACGAUUGUUAAAUUUUAGUUUUGAUCCCUAAAUUAUGUUAAAAUUUGCAUUUUAAUCUAUAUAUUUUAAGUUUUGACAUAUUUUGGUCCCUCUACAUUUAUAAUGUCAUUAGUUGAUCUAAAUUGUUAAUAUUGUUAACCAUUUCAAUCAAAAUGCUGAUGUUAAUUUUUUCUUAAUAAUACUAUUCUAAUAGAAGAAAUUAUUUUAUCAUGAUAAGUUCAAAUGAGUGUUUUUAAGAAAAAAAAUCUUAAUCAAUAUUUUUAACAUUACUUUUAUUGUUACAUGACUAUCAAGUGAAUAUGUAUAUUUUUUUAAUUUCAAAAAGUCACGUCAAAUAAUUUAAUAGAAGAAUUUUAGUAGUAGUAACAACUAGACUUGAAUUUUUAAAUUCGAAAAGUAUAGAGACUAGAUUUUUAAAACUAAAAGUAAUGGGAACUAAAUUCCAAAUUGCAAAUAAGUGCUUGAAAUAAAGAAUGUUACGUAUCCAAAGAUUGUAAUAUGAAUAUGAAUGUUUAUUUCUUUAUGUGGCUAGAUCCUUUUAAUACAUAUAUGAUACGGUUAGUUGAGGCAAGAUGAGUUGAUUGUUGCUUAGUGGCACUCGGCAGCACUGCAGAUUGCCACUGAGGUAGUUUGAUCACUUGCCUUAUUUGAUUUGACAAUUUAAUGAAAAAAAUAUUUGAACAUGUUAAUGAGUUGUUAUUUCGAAUAUACUAUGGUCAUUGGAAUGUGGGAAUUUGAUGGAGAUAGAAUUACUGAUUUUGGAGAGCAUAUCUUCGACUGAUUUUGCUUUGAUUGAAAAAGUUUGGGGUGUGCAUUGAGUCGGUUUGAUUUUUUUAUACCAAAAACCGAAUAAAUCGAAUUAUCCGUGUAAACCUAAUAAACCAGACUGACCUAUGGAGCAAAAAUGAAUAAAUCGAUUUGCUUAAUAUAUCGUUUGGUAUAUGAGUUUGAUACUAUUUUCUAAUGUGGUACAUAUGUUAGUUUUUAGUUCAAUUUGGUAAUUGUAUUUGAUAAAAGUUAUAUAUUUUGAUAUCCAAAGGUCACAGUGUUAACUUUUUAGUGUUUAAUUCGAGUUCUAUAGUUGAUUUGAUGAAGUUAAUUGUUAAUAUUAUUGUUAAUAUUAGUAGUUGUAACUUUCUACUGGUUUUCUUUGUUAUUAGUUUGUCCCUACAUUUUGAAGGUAACUUUCUAUUUUGAUUGAUUCAAAAGUUGCAGAUUUUAUCUGGCAUUUACAUAGUUGCUAAGGACAUUUUCAUGUUUUCCAUUCAUUUUGCCUUUGGUUUUUUGUUAAGCUUAUUUUUAUUUGGAUUUUUUAGUUGGAACCAUUAUGUGUUAAAUGUGUAUCCUCUUGAAAUAAUGGAAUGGCUUGUGUUUUAGCUAAAGGAGUGGUUGAAGGUAGCAACAAGAAGGGGAAAAAUAUCACUCAAGGGUGUGCUAAGGUAGCAACAAGACAAUAUAUACAUGUUAAAUUACAUUUACAAUUCGGAUUUGAUCUUGUUACUUUAAACAACAACAUUUUGGUUAUAUUUAUUUUUCAAUAUGUUUUUAUUUUUGAUAUGUUUCAUUUAAAACUAUUUUAAUCUUUUAAUAUAUUUUUAAACUAUUUUUAUUUUCGAUAUUUUUAAUUUAUGUUAUAUUUGAUUUUGGUCUUCAAACAAUGUUUUAUAUUACUUAUAUUGUUUGAUUAAAAAUUAUAAUUAACACUAAAAAGAUUAUCUCAACAAACGAAAAAAAGAAAGAAAGUGAAAUGCUACAAACAAAUCAUGUUAUGGUAAGAAUGUGAGGAUGAAUACAAACUUGCAAAGAUAGUUAAGACACUAUAUACGAAUUGCAAAGAAUAUGGAGUUUUAGAUUUUAUGGAGUUUUAGAUUUUAUUUAAAUAAAAAUAAUAAUCGAAUAUUUUAAAAUACAUAAUUUUUACAACAUUUAACACACUAUAUACCUAUAAUCGAAUUGAGUUAAUACAAAAUAAAAGAAAUUAAAACCUUAUUUUCUUUUCUCUAAAAAUUAUUAAAUUCAUAUUAUUUUUUUCCUUUUACUAAUUUUAAAUAUUCAAACAAAAUAAUAUAUAUUUUUCUAUUCACAAUUAUUAAUUCAAAUAAAACAUUAGUUAAUUACAAUGUGAGGAUGAAUACAAAGUGGCAAAGAUAGUUGCUUGUAUGGUCGCCUGCAAAGAUAGAAACCAAAAGGAAAUGAGUUCCAAAAGAAGAUGCUGCGUUGGUUACCUGUAUGGUCGACUUGCACAAUCUUGGAACCUUCAAUGCCGAUACGAGAUUCAAAGCCGGUUAUUUAAAUGAGUUGGAAAAAAUGUUAGAAAAAGUUUUACCCAACGCCAUGUUGAAGGCUAAACCUAAUCUUGAAUCGAGGAUUAGGACAUUGAAAAGCGAUUGGUCAAUCGUUUAUGACAUGCUUAGUGGAAAAAACAAUAGCGGUUUUGGUUGGGAUGAACAUAGGCAACUUGUUGUUGCUGAAGAUGCAGUGUGGAACUCAUAUAUAAAUGUAAGAAUUAUUUUAAGUCUUUAUUAUCUUAUUUUGACCAAACUUAUGUCUAAUAUGAAUUACUCAUUUUUAUAGAGUCAUAAAGAAGUCGGUCAAUUCAAACAUCGUAGUUUCCCUUAUUAUGACCAACUUACUGCCAUCUACGCAAAAGAUCGAGUCACUGGGAAAGAUGCUCAAAUAGCCGCUGAUAUUAUUGAAGAAAUAGAUGUUGAGGAUGUAGCUACUACAAAUAUUCAUGAAGAAAGAAACGAUUUAUAUGGAUGCGAAGCUGAUGUUUCUUUGGAUGACAUGGAUGUUUCAGCUACGCAACCGCAACCAGCUAGAAACCAAGGCGAUUCCGCAUUUUCAAAGAAGAAAAAAAAGAUUUAUGUUGCAAGUGAUCAUAUUUCUUCUACUUCAUUUCAUGAUGCUGUCACUUUAUUGGCGGAAAACAUAUGGACCGUUGGCGUUGAAAUCAGUAGGAGUAUUGCCUCCGAAGUACUAAUUCAACAAAAGUCAGAAAUGACUAUUCAAGAAAGAACUUUAAAAUUAUAUCCAACAUUAUGUGAAGUAGAAGGUUUAACUGAGGAUGAGUGCUAUUGCGCAUUGAGCAAAAUUCCAGAUCAUCCAACGGAAAUGCUCAUUUUCUUUAGUUUACCUUCUUCUGUGCGAUUGGAAUGAGUCAGAAGAUUUCUUGCUAACCAUUAAAAAUCAUGGUUGUGUUGAUGAUAUUUUGGUAACUUUUUGUAUUUGUAAUAUUUGUAUGGUAUAAUGACAUUAUAGGAUGUUAUUACAAUGUUGUAACUUUUUGAUUUUGCAAAAUUUUAAAACAUAUUGAUUAUGACAUAUAAGCUAAUGAAAUCAUGUAACUUUUUGUUAAUAUAUGAAUAUUAUGUUUGGAUGUGAAAUAUAAUUCUCAAGUUAUUUAUUACUUCUAAUAUUUUGUUUUUUAUUGUAGAAUAAUUAAAUUAUUUGUUUUACUAAUGAUAUUUUAGCACAUUAAAUAUGCAUUGCAGUUUAAAAAUAAUAAAGUAGAUUAUAAUUAUUUUUAUUGUAUUAUAUAUUAUGAUUUUUUAAUUCAUAUAAUAAUAAUUAUAUUAAGAAUUUUAUUAAAUUAUAUAUUAUUUUAUUAAAUUAUAUUUAAUAAUAAUUAUGUUAAAAUAUGGUUAAAUUAUUUUUUUAUUAAAUUAUUUUUAAUAAUAAUCUUAUUAAAAUUUAAUAAUAAUAACAAUAAUCAUUUACAUAAAAAAAUUCUGCUAAGGGUAUUCUAGUCAUUUUAGUUUUUUUCCUUAUGCUAUUACAACAUCUCCGUUCAACCAAACACAAGAAUACUAUUACAGUUCUAUUCCAUUCCAUUCAACCAAACAAUUGAAUUACUGAUUACAGCUUUAUUCCAUUACAACUCUAUUAAAUUACAACUCUAUUCCAUUACAGUGAAUCAAACGUACCCUGAGAAAAUUGGGGGGGGGGUGACAAAAGUAAGAAAGAAGAAAAUGAAAAAUGUAGAAGUAGACGUAGUUGCAAAAAAAGAAAUAAAAAAGGGGAAGAGGAGGAAAAAUAAAAAAAUAAAACAAAAAAACAAAAACGAAAAAAAGGAAGUAUAAUAGGACACCACGUUGCAACACGCAAUUGGCCAGUACUGCCACAUUAGCAAAAAAAAUAACGGCGUUAGUAUCAAGUGCUAACAUAGUGGACGGAAAAAAAGUUCGGGUACCAAUCUGGGACAAAAAAAUCAUAAGUACUAAUCUGGAAGAAGUGGACAAGCUUAGGUACCAAUUUUAUAUUUAACCCCUUAAUUAAAUUAUAUAAUCAAUUUAAAUUAUUUAUUAGAUAAAAUGAUAAUUAUUUAAAUUAAAAUCUAUGCAUAUAAUAAAAAUUUUAAUUUAUUUUAUAUUUAUACAAUUAAUAAAUAAUUAAAAUUUAUUAAAAUUAUAUAUUAAAUAAUUAUUUUACUAGUGAAUUUUAAUAUUAUUCAUGUAAUAUUUAUUUUUAUUAUUUAAUACUAAUUUUAUGAUAAAAAUGUGUUUAAUUAUUAAAUAGAAUUUUUUUAAAAGUUAUAAGAAAAUAAAUUGAUAUAUUUACUAUGUAAAAAAUAAUUUAUUAUAUAUUCAUUUCUUAAUUAAUACAUAACCUCAGUUUUUCUGAAAAAUUAAACUAAAAGUUUUAUGAAAAACAAAAAUAAAAUAAAGGAUUUAAAAAGUAAAUAACCAUUUGACUGAACUGCUUUUUUUCUUACUGGAGCUGUAACCUCCAGUAUAAAAUUUGGUGGUCAGUGCAUUUAUAACAACUCACUGGUGAUGCUCCAAACACCUCCAAAAUGACGUGCGUUUCAAUCACAUUUUUUUCUCCUAACAUUCCCAACGCACUGGAGAUAAAAGGAGCCCUUAGUGUUGUAAUAAAUGAAUAGGUGGUUCGACAAUCAGAUCAAUAAUAAUUAAAUAAAUAAUUAAAAAUUCAUAAAAAUAAAAAAAAUUAUUAAACUCAUUCAACCUGUUCAAUUGUUGAUUUUUGUCUUAGUUUUUGAUUUUUACCAAUUUCAAGUAGUGUAUGAUUUCAACCGGCUCAACCCCUUUGUUUAUAUCAUUAUAUCAAUAAGUUCUCAAUCUAUCUGAUCUGGUCUCAUUCUAAUAACAUUGGUUAAAUCAUCAAAUCUUGACAGAAUCCAAGUUUAAUAACUAAAAUGGGUCGAGUUACCAAGUUCAAGGACUAAAGUGGACAAAAAAAGUACAGGAACCAACGUGGACAUAGUUGCCAAGUUAAUGGGCCAAAAAUUAUAUUAUCUCUAAAUUUUACUAUUAGACUUAUAUCAUGCAUAAGUUUUGGAUUUAGACAUUUAGUUCUUGAUUUUCAAUUUGAUCAUGCUUUAUUUGUCCUUGUAAUUUUUCUAUGAGUGUUAUGUAAAAAUAGCAAGCUAGUAUAGCAUUGUGUCACGGGUCACAAAUUAAAGCCCGUGAUGAAUGCACACAAAAUGUCCUAUGGAGGUCAAUUGAUUAAAUGUGGCUCAUUUGACUCACUUAAACUAGUCCAAUACGUAAAAUAUGUGGAGAAACACAUCUAGUUAACCUGGUGAAUAUUUUACCAGGGUGAAUAUUUUUUAAUCUUAGAGGAUCUUGGAAAAUACUUUAAGAAUCUCAAUUUGUAGAUUGCCUUUAAUCUCAGUCGUCAAUGUAAUUUAAAUUGUACCGUUGGAUAUGGGAGAGCUUAACUAUAAAUAGAAGUUUUCCUUCUCAUUUGUAAUUAUCCCAUUAUUGAGUAACCAAAUACUUUUGAGAGCAUUUACUCAAAUACCUUGUGUGCAUUACUUUUUUGUGGCUUAUUCGGUUCUUUUGUUGCUUCUUUACCUUUAAGUUUGCUUUUGAUAAGCUUGUUGCCUUAGAGAAUUUUCAUUGUGAAUUCUCACUUUUGAGAGUUAGGUUGACUUAGGUGGAUUUGAAUUUAAGUUUUUGUCAAGGUCGUGCGGUUCGCUAGACUAAAGUUUUAGCCCUGUGACAGUUGGUAUUAGAGUCAAUGUUUAGUAAGUCAGCAGUUAAGAUGACAAAGGAGUAGGCGAUUAGAUUGAGCCUAGGGAGACCCAUGAGGGGGAAGGGGGCAUGAAAGCUAGCAAAUCGAGGGAUAUGCUGUUGACUUUGGAAGGUCAAGUGAUCGAUCUCGAGAAAUUUGUGGGUGAUACGAAGGAAAACACUCGAGGCAGUUAAAGGACACAUCGAAGAGUUGGACUCAAUGAAAGAGUAGCUCAAGUAAUUUAUGAUAGAGGCUCUCGAUUCUAAUGUGGAAGUAAUGCAGUGGGUGCUCAAUUCUACUAUGGAUAAGCUGACAGUGAAGGAUGAUGUUCUAGAGGUUAUGGUGUUGACUUUAAAGGAACAUAUUGAGGAGCUCAAGGAGGAGCUCGUUAUUUGCAAAGCUGAUUUGGGUAAAAGGAUGCUAGAUUCAGUUCCUAAACAACAUAAAAUGGAUGUUUCCAAACUGAAAGGGUUUAAAGAGAAGAGGUUUGCGAGGAAUGUGAACAAUUUCUUAUGGGGAAUGAAACACUACUUUUGUGUGAUAGACAUUGAAAAUGAUGCCAUUAAGGUAAACAUUGCUCCAAUUUAUUUUACCAAUAUCACUAUUUUAUGAUGGCCUCAUAGGUCCACAGAUGAGAGGUAAGAGGUGAUAUCACUAUUGGGAUUUGGUGGAGUUACAGAAUGAAUUUAGGAAGCAAUUUUACCCUGAGUUUGCUGAGGAAGAAGCUUGGGCUAAGUUGUGUCGACUUAUGCAGCAAAGCACAGUUCGAGAGUUCACUAAGUUGUUACUCAAAAUCCUUGAUUUGAGUGAGAAAAGAGGCAUUUUACUGGUUCAAGGAUGGGUUAAAUCCUUAGGCAAAGCAAGAGUUGUGUCAACUAGGGUCAAAUAACUUACCAAAGCCAUGGCUGAGGCGGAGUCCUUUGUUGAGCUUGAUCUGAAGAAAGACAAGUUUGAGUUUUCCAAGCCUAAAGAGACAAGCAAUGGUGGGGGUGGCCAUUAGGAAGAAUAAGAUAAAAAUGACAAUGAUGGCAAUGGCAAGAGUAAUGGUCAUGAGAAACCACGCAAUGGGAAGUUGAAGCCCAACGAUAAAUCAGAGAAGCCAAUGAAGUGCUUCGUAUAUUGUGGUCCGCAUAGGGUACGAGACUGUCCACAGAAGAUUCAAGUUCAUUGCAAUCAACAAAGAAGAGGAAGCGGAGCUUAAGGAGGAUAAAUUAUUAAAGCUUGGUUUAAUAAUACUCAAUUUUGCUAAAGUGAAGAAGGAUCACAAGCAAAAUGGGUUUAUGUUUGUAGACAUUAACAUCGCAAGCCGAAUGAGGAGUGCUCUUAUUGAUACAAGGACAUCUAAUUUGUUUAUGUUGAAAAAAGUCGCAGAUAAACUUGGUCUAUUAGUUAACAAAUCGACUAAAAAGAUCAAGAUUGUUAAUUUCAAAGAGGUCCCAACUAUGGAAGUAACAUAAGGAGUUGGGCUACAAAUUGGGGAUUGGAAAGGCAAGGAAAACAUUGAGGUAAUUCACUUAGAUGAUUACAAGUUUGUUCUUUCCUUCACAAGAUUAAUGCAUUGUGCUGGUGAGUCAUGAUGAGAAAGGUGGAACCAAUGUAUUUUCGGUAAUCCAACUAGUUGAGGAUGUUUAUUGUGGUAAGAAUAUUGACUUGGUGGAUUAGAGUGCUACGAAGAACCUCUUGAAAAAUCUAGAGGUGCAACAAACCGAUAUGAACUCUGUUGAGUUAUUAGUGGGGUUACCAUUUAUGAGAGAGGUGGGUUGUGCAUCAAACUUUGUGGGAAAGUGGUGAUGCAAACUGGAUAUUUAAAACGAGUAAAUGUUGUGAGCAAGGUACAUCUCAAACACUUUUUAGUGUUUUUCAUUAUGAUUGGCCGUUGACGUGACAAAAACAUAGAAACCUUUUCAAAGUUUUGAAAGGGGUAAGUUGAGGGGCUUACAAAUCAGGCUUAGCAGCAAUACUCAAAGUUAACCCAAUGUUUAAUGUGGGUGUGUUAAAGUCUUUUUGUAUGGAUCAAGGAGAUCUCGAUCUAGGCAAGUCAUAAUGGGGGCAAGUAAGAGCAAUGACCUCUUUCGAUUGAGAUGUACAAAAGAGAGAGACAAGUUGAGUUAGACGAAGAUAGAGACAUAAGUCGAGACAAAUAUUUUGAGGAUUAAAAUUACCCAACAUAGAUGAUUUUAUAAUCUUUUGUAUGGAAAGUAGUUUAUAUUUUAUCAAGGUGAAUGUUUUGUAAUCUUAGAUGAUUUUGUAAUAUUAGAAGAUCUUAGAAAAUCCCUUAAGAAUCUCAAUUUGUAGAUCUUAGUUAUUAAUGUAAUUUAAACAGUAUUGUUAGAUCUAAAGAGCUCAACUUUAAAUAGAUACAUUCCCCUCAUUUGUAAUCAUAUCAUUAUUGAGUAAUCAAAUACUUUUAAGGACAUUUACUUAGACACCUUGUAUGCAUGUUUUCUUGUGGCUUAUUCGAUUCUUUCAUUGCUUUUUAUCUGAGUUUGCUUCCGCUAAGUUUGGUGCCUUACAGAAUUUUUAUUGUGAAUUAUUACUUUUGAUAGUUAAGUUGACUUAGACAAAUUUAAAACUAAAUUUUUGCCUAAGACCAUGCGGUUCAUUAGACUAAAAUUCUAACCUCAUGACGAUUGCACGUAAUAAUAUAUUUAUCGCAUAUGACUUUGAAAAUAAAAGAAUUCAAAUUAACAAAUUUAAGGAUUAUUUGUUGGUUAAUAUUUCAAAAUUCAAAAAAUAAAAAUAAAAAUAACAACUAAAAUAUAAGGACAAAAUCCACAAUUAGCCAUAAUACAAGGACUAAAAACAAAUUUUGACAUUAAAAUUAGCUAUGUAACACUUAUUCCAAAUUCAAGAACUAUGCUGGAAAAACUCGACUGUGUACAAAUAUGGACGCAAGAGAUAAUUAUAAAUGCUACAGAGAAAUUUAUCUACAUGUUCUUUGUUUUAACUAUACAUGCUUAUCUGCAACAAGUCGAACUUUAUUCAGAGAUUCUUUAAAGGCUUGCCAUGCAACAGUAUAAUGAUCUUGGGAUAUCAUCCCUUCUUCGACAACUUGCAUUGCCCGUCUGUGCAAAUGGUCGAACCACUGAACUGGGUUGCUAAUGUCGAUGUUAUUGGAUCCAAGUUCGGGUACGUAUAGUCGCUUAAAAUCUUUCCGCCAGCGAGACAAGAUAUACUGGAAAGGGAUUUCCUCCACGCCGUUGUAGUGGAGGACACACAAGCAGUGUCGGCAAAGGUACCCGUUGAAGUUAAAGCAGCUGCAUAUGCAACGGAUUUCUGUUCCGGCUUUGUCAUGCAUGACUUCGAAGUUCUUCAUAUUGCUCCGGUCUCCUUCGACCUCGUGUUCCUUAAUCAUGUAGGUUAUAACCGAUCCGUUGGCAUGAACUUGGGUGAUGCUAAAACAAGGCAUCAUCACAACUUCAUCUUGGAACCUCCUGAAAAUUUCAUUCGUAUACAACUUCGCAAGCUGUAAUUCGUAAAAGCAUCUUGUUUUCAACAAUGGACUUGAAUCUCUCGAUUCGAAAUCAUUGAUUGCUUCUGUUUUACGCUCUUCUUGCACAAGUAAUUCGUACUUGCCAAAAAAUUCUUUCAAAGAAGUUUGCUUAUGCACAAAACCGUCAAAAAACGAGCUCCUGAACUCACCAUUUUCAAAAGUGCACAUUCCAGCAAAAAAGGUAUCUUUUUGGUAAACCGGAGCCCAUCGCUCUCUUUCCUCGUACAGAGUACAAAGCCAUGCAUGAUCUGCAAGUCCGAACCGUCGAAUCAUAUCAUCCCAGCCCAUUUCAAAUUCGUCCACCUUCACGGUCUCAUAGACUGUCCUAUUUAAUAUCAUUUGAAAGACAUCAGAUUCCUGCAACUCUCCCAAAUUCUCGAAUAAGCUUUGCAUGACAUGCGACAAAUGCAGUCGAUGAUGAGCCCUGGGAAACACCUCAGAUAUUGCACUUUGCAUGGCCCUGCAGUGGUCUGUGAUUAUGGUUUGCGGAGAGCGACCAGACAUACAAGUAAGCCAUGCCCUAAAUAGCCAAACAUAUGAUUCGAAUGUAUCAUCAGCAAGCAAACCACAGCCCAGCAAGAUAGACUGCCCAUGAUGAUUUACUCCAACAAAUGCCACGAGAGGAAUCUCGUAUUUGUUUGACAAGCACGUGGUAUCAACUGCAACCACAUCACCAAAGUAACCAUAUGCAGCCCUAGACCUAGAAUCUAUCCAAAAAACAUUCCUUAAACAACCUUCAUCAUUCAGAUCUAUCAGGUAAACGAAAUUCGGACUAGUAAGCUGAAUGCGGCUAAAAAAAUCAUAUAUAAUUUGGGAAUCUCCUUUGUUAAGCUUCAAGCGCUUAGAACGAUCAAUGGUCUCACUAAUUUCUCCUUCAAGUAUGUUCAAGUUUCCAUAACCCACUGGAUCGGCCGUAGAUGUACGGUACAACUUGAUAGUCCGCACUUCUACAUCCACAGUAGGCUCUACCUUCCUUUUGGCCACAGCGUCCAUCUUCUUGUGUGACUUACAAUUUUGUGCUCUUUCAUGGUCAAAUAGGUGAUUGUGUUCCAGUUUGACUUCAUCGACCCUCCAUCUAUUUGAUUCUACUAACCUCAACCUUAUCAUCGCGAGACAGCCAGUUCUUGUUUCCUUCCUACGACUAUUUGCUUCUUUGAUUGUUUUGAAGCCCUCGCAGUUACAACAGAGCACGGCUCCGCGCUUCUCUUUGCUGUUACGCUUCGUCCACGAAGAUUUGACCCUAAUUGCAAAUCCUAGUUCCUUGGCAUAACAGUUAUAGUAAUUAUAAGCAUCAUCGUAAGAUUCAAACUCCAUUCCCACAACCGGCGGAGGAUAAUUUUUUCCUUGGGAUAUGCCAUUUUCAAUGGAAACUGCAGUUGCAUCAUCCCCGUUGCUUUCAUGAUUGUCAUCAAUAUCAAGCAUUCCGUCACAAUCAUCCUGAAGGCCAUUGCUUUCAAUGUCGAGGCAGUUUCCUUCUAUGUCAAGGCCAUUGCUGUCGAUAUCAAUGUCAUUCCCUUCCAUUUCAAGCUCAUUUCCAUCAUCCUCAAAUAGUUGCUCACUAUUUUGAGAACCCUCUUCCAUCUGAAAUGGAAACCCCAUCAAAUGGAUAACCGACACUUAAAGAAAAUACAAACAGAAUAACUGAAGAAGUAACGCAUAAAUGAUGCUAAUAAGUGAUCUUUGAGAUUCCAACUCUUCCCCGCGCAUUUUGUUUUAAGGAAUGGUUACAAUAAAAAUUUAAGAAAACAUGACAUUAUUGGGAGAGACAGCCACGAACCCCAAAAAUAUUAGUCUUUAUUACCAUAAAAAGGACAUGAAACUACCUUACUUAUACCAAAUAUAUAUAAAAGAUUUAGUACAUUUAACUAUGCUCUUCAUCCACAUUCAUUUCUUAGCAUGGUUUCACAAUUAAAAGUUGUAAUCAUUUACUCAUAUAUUCUAACACAGAAAUUUAGAAAAUUUCAUCAAAUAAUUUGAAUUUUAUUGCUUUAAAUAUCAAGAAGUAAAAACUGGAACUGUAAUGGCAAAGAAAUAGAAAACAAGGUUCUCUACUCUUAGCAUAUCUAAAGAACGACGUAAUUUCUUCAUUGAAAAUCAAGGUUCAGCUUAAUUAAGUAAUAAAAUAAGAAUUUUAUUAAGAACAUCCAAGAAAUUAAAGAUCAAAACCCUAGAAAUGGGGGGAAAUGGGAACUGGGAAAGGCAAAGAAGUAAAUCGAGUGAAGGAAAUGGGGGAAACGAACCGUGAUGAGAAGGUUGGGCGGCGGGGACGGAGACAAAGCGUGAUGUUGAUCGCCGGUGGAAAACGCCGGAUUGCCGGUCAUGGUUGGAGUGAGGGUGAGGGAGCCUUGCGUCAAAGUAUGAGAGGUUAGUUUUACCCUAAGGCUCUCAAUCACUAUAUUCCCACUUUGGUCCUUUGUUUUCCUUGUAUUUGCUUUUGCUUAGUUGCAAUUGAAAAAGAAUGGUGCUACUUUUAGAAAUAUUUAAAAGUUUAGGGACUCAGCCAUUUGAUUUUCCAUUUUGAAGGGAGUCUUCUUUCCUUUCUGGUGGAGCUAAGGGUUCCGUGGUUCUGUUAUCGAUAUGUUAGAUUCUGAGUUGAAUGAUAACUCCACGCGCCGGUUUCAACGUGACACACGCUCCAAAAUCUAAUCUAACUAACAAUCGAUUCAGUUAUAAAAUUACCAAUAGUGAUUCUUUUUAUAAAGGAACAAUUAUUAAAAAAAUACAUAUACUAAAAAUUUUAAUAUUUGAAUCCAAAAUAUCAUAUCUUUACUAACUCAACUUAACCAUGUAAAUCUAGACCUGUUCAUGGGUCAGACUAUUCGUCUAGGUCCGCCCGAAAUUUGAAAAGUUUUUGGUAAAAAUAUUAGACUCGUUUAAAAUAUGAGUUGGGAUUAAACUUUAACAUUCAAAGGUCGACCCGACUCAUUUUAAGUUUAUAACACUUUAUAUUAUAUUAUUUUUAUAUAUUAUGUAAUUUAAAACACAUUAAAAAAUAAGCAUAUAUUAAAUAUAUAAUAUUACUCUAAUGUAAAUAUUAAAAAAUAUUAAGAUGACUAUAUAAAAAAUUUCAAUAAAUAAAAAAUAUUAAAUUAUUAAAUAUUAAAAUAAAAUAAAUAUUUUAUUUAAAAAAAUAAAAAUAAUAUGGGUAGGUCUAAAAUAGGCUUGUAUUAGUCUUUUAUAGAUAUGGACGAAUUUGUACAAAAUUUUUGGCUCAAAUUUUGGGUCAAGCCGGACUUAAAUAAGUAUAAAGUAUAUUAAUAUCAUGCUUAGAUCCGACCCGGCACAUGACUACAUCUAUUUAAAUCAAAUUAUAUUUAUUUUUCAUAUAAUUUUAGCUUAACUAGUUUUAAUAUAAAAAUAAUUUAGGAGGCGUUACACUAAAAAAAACUUAUAGCGCGUGGGUAUGUGGCGAACUAGUAAUACUGUUUUUUUCCCUCUGUUUUUCUGGUCCAUAAUUUAUGAACAAAACACUAAAAUCUAUUUUUAUUUUCUCAAACUUUUAAGGAGAAAAAUAGACAAAAAUGGUGGAGGGAGUUUAGUUCGUUAAAAGCAGUGGCAAAGAAGGCGAAGGUAAAUAGCAAAAAAAAAAAAAUGGCGACGAAUCUUCUGCUCACUCCUCAGCCGCUUGCUUUUUCAAAAUUCUCUGUUGCAACCAAAAAAGUAGCGAUUAAUAGCCAAAGAGCGACGAGAUUCGUCGCCAAAGCCAGUGGUGGAGAAGAGAAGAACGACGAGAAAGGCUUCACUCCGUUUGGUUUCGUCACCGAUAAUCCUUCCAGCCGCAGCGCCAUUCAAUUGCCGGAAUCCCCCGCUGAGGAUGGCAAUGUCGGCCAAAUGCUUUAUGUGAGUAAUUUUAUUAUAGCCGUCGUCGCCUAUGCACUUAAAGUUGUGGAUUUUAUAUUCGAUGAAAAAUUAAUGGGAUCAAAAUUGCAGAGGAUAGAAGACAAGGGAAAGGAGUAUGGCUCAUACAUAAAGUCUGGAAAGCUUAGAUGGUUUGUUAGAGAAACUGGUAAUGCUUCACACUUUCCCUAUAUUUAAAAUCUUGAUUGUAAUGGUUGAGCUUUUAGCUCGAUUGGUACCAUUACUAUUGCAAGUUGUAAGAAUAGGAGUACGCGAGUUUGAGUUAAGCAUGAAUUAUAUUCCGACUUAAGGGUUUUAGGGAGAGUAAGAGUAGUAAUAGGAAUUGUAUAAAAAUCUUCCAUUGCAUAUCACGUGUUCAUGCUCAGGAUUACUUGUCCAAACUCAAGUGUAAAAACUCCAUAGUUUGUGCAUGGGAUGAUUUUCCUAAUACUAAUGUCAUAUUUAAACUUAACUCUAAUUGCUUGGUUGCAUUUAGUUUAUGCAUUUGCUAAUUAUUUUUACUCAUUUGAAAAGAAAAUGAAAAAUGAAAUCACGCAAAGGUAUUGUUAUUGUUUUGAAAGUAAUGUUGGGUGGUUUGUAGGGUCACCUGAAAGCCGACGUGGUACAGUUGUCUUCCUACAUGGGGCUCCAACACAAUCUUAUAGCUAUCGAGUUGUAAUGUCUCAGGUUGUGUUUAACACAUAUUCGAAUAUUAAUUUCGACAUAUAAUCUGAAUUUUCUUUUUUAAAAUUUGAGAUUUCCCUUUUGUGUGUUAUGCAUUAGAUGUCAGAUGCUGGUUUCCAUUGCUUUGCACCUGAUUGGAUAGGAUUUGGUUUCAGUGACAAACCACAGCCUGGAUAUGGGUUUGAUUACACAGGUUUUCGUAGUUACAUGAUAAAACCGUCGUCUAAUUCACUAACAGUGCGUCAGAUGUAAAUCCAUCAAUGCUAUAUAUGUUAAUAUUUGCAGAGAAGGAGUUCCAUGAGGCACUUGACAAGUUACUGGAUGUCUUGGAGGUCAAGUCUCCUUUCUUUCUUGUGGUUCAGGUUUGAUAAUCCGCUAUGACAUGAAUACUUUAAGAUUUAAAAUGAAGAGUCAUAGCAACAUAAUCUACAUACCUAAUUUACUUUCUUUUUUUUUUGGAUAUGGUUGAAGGGGUUUGUUGUAGGUUCAUAUGGAUUGACAUGGGCAUUGAAAAAUCCCAGCAAGAUAUCCAAAUUAGCAAUUUUGAAUACUCCAUUAACAGUUUCAUCUCCUGUUCCUGGACUUUUCCAACAGCUAAGGUUUGGGUUUAUCUUUCUAUGAAUAUGCUAUUUGGAUCCGACAAUUACAAGCUAAUUGAGUUGGAGUAACAUAGAUUAUGAAAUUGUCCUUUUGUUUCUCUCACAGAAUACCACUUUUUGGAGAAUUUACUUCUCAAAAUGCUGUGAUAGCUGAACGCUUUAUUGAAGCAGGUAGCCCGUAUGUAUCCAAUUCCAAUAUAUAUCCCUGCUAUUUUCACAAUAUUUCUCUUCUUAUGUUAUAGCAGAUACCUAUCCGUAUUUGUUAUUCUCACCUAAAUCCGAGUUUCUAAAGAUGAAAUGGUAAAUGUCUUUUGACAGAUAUGUGCUGAAGCUGGAAAAGGCUGAUGUCUAUCGAUUACCAUAUUUGGCCAGCAGCGGACCCGGCUUCGGUUUGUAUUUCAUCCUUACAUUUACGGGCUUUUUUCGGUUAAAUGCUUAACAUGAUGUCAUAGCUCGUAUUAUGUUUUGAACCUGAGACUAAAUCCAGUUGGUUUAUGCAUUCACCUAACAAGUCCGGAUUUCAAAUCCUAGUGUUUACAACUCCUUUAAUUCGGGUUUUAUUCAAAGACAAUCCCAAUAAUGCAAAAAUAGUUUGGUGUUUCAGCAUUACUUGAAGCAGCAAGAAAAAUUAAUUUCAGAGACAUCUCAAGUCAAAUAGCUGAUGGAUUUGCAUCUGGAAGGUACAUUUUCUUCUUUAGCAUUUUUAUUCUCAUAUCCAAUACUUACAUCCGAGCCCGAGCAGUAUUGCUCUAUAGCUGUAUAGCAACUUUCUCCCGUAUGGGAAUCUAGAUAUAACCCUUUUAAAAACCCUUUUCUCAUCUUCAGAUGGGAUAAACCAGUUCUGGUUGCUUGGGGUUUAGCGGACAAGUACCUCCCUCAAACAAUAGCCGAAGAAUUUCGGAAACAAAACCUGAGCUCAGUUGAGCUCAAGCUGAUAGAAGGUGCCGGUCAUAUGCCACAGGAGGACUGGUAAAACUAGAUUCCAUUUACAUUAUCCGUUUUCAUUUCUGCAUUUUUAUUUUAUUUUAUUUUUUGGUCUCAUUAUAUUGAAAAUCAACAGGCCUGAGAAAGUUGUCGAUGCUUUGAGAAUGUUCUUCUAAGUUGCAUACCCUUGUUUAUAUGCUAUUGACUUCCCUUUUCUUGCAAGGUAAGUUACCUACAAUUCCUUCAAUGUUAGUUCACCUUCUUUAUCUUCUUUUUAAAGUAUUUGUGUCCGAUAUUUAUGUCCAAUAGAUAUCUGGAUAGUGGUGAGUAUUUAUUGAUUUGAACUAAUUUAACCAACCAAACCGAAUAAAUUUAAUUUAUUUGGUUCAAUUUUGGAAAUUGAUUUAUUUAAUUAAUUCGAUGAAUUACCCAAAUUUUUAAAUUGAUAAGUAAAUAGAUUGAAUCAGCUGAUUUUUUUUUUAUUAAUUUUAAAUUAUAUGUGACUGUUAUAUCAUUUAUGUUUAUAAUAUUACACAUUAUAUAAUAUAUAACUAAUGGAAUCAAUUGACUUAAAUUGGGGUUUUUUUUAAGGCUUAAAUUAUAAUUUUAUUAUUAUAUUAACUUAAAAUAUAAAUUUGUAAUUUUAGCAGAGAGGCCUUAUUUGCCCCCUUUAGAUCAGGGUGGCAGCAGGGGAACUGGCAAGGGUUUGACUCCUAAAAUUGAAAUUUUAGUUAAAAUUGGUAAAUUUUUAAUUUAAUCAUAAAAAUAUAAACUAUUAAAAUGGUGAAAUUGCGUUUAACUCAUAAAAUUAUAUAAACUAAUUUCCUUGCAAAACUCAAAAACAUAUAAAGCUUAUACAAAAAUUUGCUUGCAAAUCUUUUGGAUCUAAAACUACUUAUUUCAUAUUUCCUGCAGGUAUUUUACAGAAAACAGAGCAAUGUAAUUUUCUGAUUAACUAAAACUAUUGUAUAGAUUUGUAGUUUAGAUGAUGUAUUUUUAUAUAUCCAAUGCACAGCACAGGACAAACAUUUUUAAGCUCAGGGACUUGCAUAAAACCUUUCAAAUCGGACGAAAUUGAUUAUGUAAUUGAAAUAUAAAAUAAAAAAUAUUUUUAUCAAUAAAAAUUAAAUUGAUUAUGGUAUCAAUAAAUGAAAGUGAAUUUUUUCAAGGUUCUAAUUUUGGAGGUAAUGAAUCUAUGGGUAUAGACCAUAAAACCGAUCCAAAGAAUAAUUUUUAGUCAGAUGAGGAAAGAGAAAAGAAAAUUAAAUAAUUUAUUUAGUUAUAUUGUAAUGGAUGUCAUCCCAUAUAUAUGGUAUAUAGAAAGAGAUAGAGAGAUUAUGUAGCAGUGACGGCUAUUUUCAUUCCAUUAUUACAGUGAGCGGGAAAACCACAAACAAAAUAGUUAUGUCCUUGUUGAAGAGUGAUAAGGUCAUCUCCCGUCUCAAAUACUUGAGCAUCGUCUGCCACAUAGCAUGAUUCAUAACCUUCCUUAUCUACCACUGCAACAUCGUGGUUUGGUCGAUUGUACUUAAAUUCUGCAAAUAUAUUUUCACAUAAAAAAAUCUUGAUUGACACGAGUUUCAAAAUUUAAACUGGACAACUCGAUCUCUCGUAUGUACGUAUUUAAACUUACCAAGGACAUCACCAGCCUUGAAGGAUUUGCCAUUAGGCCAAUUACUAACACCAAAACCCCAACCAGAAGCAUCACCCACCAUGAAAGUGGCUGCAAAGCUGCUCUGAAAACAUAACAGUAGAGUCAACCAAAUCAUUGCACUGCCUCUUUCUUGGCCCAUUUCUUCUAUGCUCUUUUUACACUAGGAAUUUUAGAGGUAUAAUUUGUGAUCUAAAUGGGUUUGCCCUUUUUAUAGCCAUUAUUUUUAAGGAAAAAAAUAUAAGAAUUUGGUAAACCCCAAAGCCAAAUCUUUUCCAUUUAAUUUGAAAUCAACGAAUAAGGAUUUUAUAUGACCUAAUUGAUUCUCUUCUUCACCAUACAAUCAACAUCCAAAAGAAAAAACUAAAUUCAGUAUUUUCAUUUUUUUUUCCAACAUUACGUACUCAAAUCAAAUGUAAUUUUCCUCGGCAUUGUAAUGAUAAAAAAUAAUAUAUGUCAAAUUAAAUUAUCUACUUUUUAGAACAAAACAAACAAAAUAUUUCAAUUAUUAUUUUAAUUCUUAUUCAAAUGUAAAAAAAUAUUUAAAAUAAUUAACAAAAAUAAAUUCUAAUAUUAAAAAAAGUUUAAAUUCAAUAUUGACAUAUAUCUAGACCUGAUCAUAAGCCAGGCCAUCUGGCUCGACCCGAAGGCCUGCCCAAAAGUAGAGGGUUUGGACAAAAAUAUAAGCCCGAAAAAUGAGUUUAAGUAACCUUGGGUAAUCUUUUUUGGCCCGAACACAGCUCGACCCGAAUUUGCAAAAAAAAAAAAAUUGUUGCUUUUUGCUGUUGUUUUAUCACUGUUUUGGUGUCAUUUCACUAUUACAUUGAUACUAUUUUGUUGUUAUUGUUUGGAGAUUCUAUAACUCUUGUUUUAUUGUUAAUUUUGCUACUAUUUUAUAGGUAUUUGUUUGCUAAGUUGCACAUAUUUUAGUGUUAUUUAAGUAUAAAGACUAAAGUAUUCUAAACAAAUAAAUAUUUAACAAUAAAAUGUAUCAUGCCUUUAUUUGUCACUUUACACGUAUCAACUUUCAACUAUUAACUAAGUUUUACCAAACAUUUUUAAAUAAACAGUUAAUAGAAUCAAUUGGUUAAACCAGCCACUGCAAUCACCUUAAUUUUGAAUAUAGUUUAAUUUGAUCACAAAAAGAAAAAAAAGAAAGGGAAAUAACAUCCUCCAUUUAGAUUUUGCAAUGCAUCCCAUAAACAUAGAGAGAGAUUAGGUAGGCAUGAACAGCUAUUUUCAUUCCAUUAUUGCAAUGGUCGAGAAAACCACAGAUGAAAUAGUUAUAUCCCUGUACAACAUUAAUAAUAUCAUCGACUACUCCAUUUGAUUUUUUUUAUCAAUCUUAUUAUAGGUUCUGAUAAAUAUUUACAAAUCAGAUAUUUUUUCCGAUUUAAAAGUUACAUAAAAAAAAUAUCAGCAACAACACUACACCAAAACUCAUAAUCAAAUUUUUGCUUUUCUGCUCAACCAACACAUGGUUCAAGUCGGUUUUAAUUUAUAAUUAGGUUAAUUAAGUUAAUUUUGUCUGUUCAUUGAAAAUAUAAAUAUUAAAUAUAUUAACUGAAGUCUUCAUUGUUGAUGAAAUAAGAAAGAAAAGAAAAGAGAAAAGAAAUUUAUUUAUAUAUUUAUUGUAAAAUAACGAAUCGAGAUGACUACGUAGCAGUAAUAGCUAUUUUCAUGCCACCUUCACAGUGACCUGGGAAACCACAUACAAAAUAGUUAUCACCCUUUUUAAGCGGAAUAAGGUCAUCUCCCGUCUCGAAAACUGGAGCUUCUUGUGGAAUUUUACACGACUCAUACGCUUCUUUAUCUACUACUGCAACGUCGUGAUUCGCUCGAUUAUACGUAAAUUCAAGGACAUCACCCGCCUUGAAGGUUUUUCCCUUGGGCCAAUUGCUCACAUCGUAACCCCAACCAGAAGCAUCACCCACCAUGAAAGUGGCUGCAAAGCUGCUCUGAAAACAUAACAUUAGAGUCAACCAAAUCAUUGCACUGCCUCUUUCUCGGCCCAUUUCUUCUAUAUCUUUUCUUUACACUAGGAAUUUUAGAGGUACAAUCUGGGAUCCAAAUGGGUUCGCCCUUUUUAUAGCCAUUAUUUUUUAGAAAAAAAUCAAUGAAUUUGGUAACGUAUAAGGAUUUUAAUUUACCUCAUAAAUCUCCUUUAAUGCAAUACAAUCACCGUUUAUUUAUUUGGAUACUCAUAUUAAAUGUUAUUAAAUACAAAAUGGUCACUAAAAAUAGUUAAAAAGAGAUAAAUACAAAUUAUAUAUAUUUUUUAAAAAUAAACUAUUUAUUUUUCUACUUUUUUUUUAUUUUGAUGGGAAUGUUUUUUGUCGCAAAAGUGUUGAUUAAAAUCUUGAGAAAGUUCAAAUAAUACGUACUCAGAUUCACAUAUAACCUUGAAAGUUUCGAGCUGACCCUUUCGCAUCAUAAUCCAGAAAUUUUCCAAUAAAAUUUUCAAAUUGUUUUGCCAACUCCUCAAACAUCAAUCCAUUGGAUAAAUCAUAAAUUUAUACCCAAAAACCACCCUAUCAACGUCCACCUCAUAAAAAAAUGAAAUAAAAACAGUUUAUCACUCAAAUUUGAAAUAGAACCCCCAAAGGGUGCAAGAUAUUGACCAACGUAGUCCUCAUCACUUGGAACUGAAUUGUGCUUGCAAUUAGAAAACUCCCAACCAAAUGGUAUUCAUAAACCUUCAACCUUAGCCUCUAACAGGAUUUGCCAAGCCUCCUCCUCUCUCCUUCAUCAAUCCUCAGAUUUGCGAUUUCUUCUUCCAUGAUUGCAAUCUAGACCCCACAUUCGACAAACCCACCCCAAGAAGAAAACAUGCAAAAAAAAAAAAAAACCUAAUUAAAAGAGAAAACAUGCUACAAGAACAGACCUAUACUAUCAUAAAUUUAGUUUUUAAACUUUAUAUAUAAAAAAAAUAUAACAAUCAUGUGUACAACUUUUGAGUUAUCAAUUAUUCUCUAUAUAUAAGCCAUCCAAGUGAUUGAAGUGUACAAAUACCAUAAUUGGUAUACAUUUCAGAGUCAAUCGAUACUAAAUUAACCAGUGCUUCAAAUCAGUGGAAGUGCCACCAAAUGAUUAAAAUGUAUACCAUAGUUGUUUUAAGCAUUUUAUUUUUUAAAAUAAAUUUUGAAAAAUAUUUAUUAUUUUUAAUAUAUAUUAAAUGGUAGCAAUAGAAUUAAAGCAUUUAUACCCAUAUAAUAUUUUUAAAUAAAAAUAUAUAUUUUUAAAAUUUUAUAUAAUUUAGAAAAAUUAUCUUCAAUGACUUUUUUAUUAAUUUUUAAUUUUUUUUAACUUUUGAACUCUAUUUGAUAUUUUUAUAAAAUUUAAUAAUAUUUUUACAAAUUUAAAAAAAUUUAAAAAAUAUUUUUUAAUUUUAAAAAUUUAAGUUUCCAAUAAAAAUAAAAAUAAAAUACUUCUUUUACUUUUAACUUUUUUUUUUGUUGAUGUGAUAGCUAACGUGGUACUAAUACAUUAGCAACCAUGGUUGACAUGAAGCACCACGUUAUUAAUGGACAUGUUAACGCUGUAACAGUCAAAGAUGAAAAACAUUGGUCAAAUGAUUUACUUAAUUAAAUAUAUUUUUCUAUGAAGAGGGCUUAAUUAAUUUUUUCCCGAAAGUUUAAAGGCAUAUAUAUCCCUUUAGUUAUUAUUAUUAUUUGCAUAAACAUUAAUUUUAAAUAUUAUAUACAACAUACUAACAAAGAAUCUCGAAGCAUGCUAAAAAUAUAUAACAACUUUUAAACAUAUUUUAAUACUUCAUUAAAUUUUUUUGGGAUUUAUAUUAAUACCUGAAAAUUUUUUUUGAUGACGUGGUACUCUAAACCUAAAUCUUAUCAUCGUAUAAUUUUUUUAAGAAAAAAAUAUAAAAUUUUAUUGUGAUGACAUAAAAUAAUAUCAGAGGGCGAUAUUAUUACAUGGGCUAAAAUUAGAAAAUAUUACAAAAUUUUAAGAUUAAUGUAAGAAAAAUUACGGAGCUCUAAGAUAAAAUAAAAGAGUAAGUUAUGGAAUAAAUAUUGUUUUAUCCAACUUUUAGGACUUAGGAGUUUGCCGCCACUUUCAUUUGUCCCGUUAAAAAGAUAAUUAAAUGUAAAUUAUAUGGACUUAAAUUUUGUUUUUUUUGUUUUUAAGUAGCAUUAAGAAGGGCAGAGCGCAGAGACGCUUCAAAUCCCUCAGUUUCCCUCACAAUUCACACUAUAAAAUUAAAUUUUUUAAUUCUUGUUUUUGGUGGAGGAAUUUAAAAUGGGGCCACCUAUGUAAAUACUAUAGAAAUACUAUAAGUUCUGAAAAAAUGGAGGACUUCAAAAUAAUUUUCUAUUUUUUGGUGGAGCCAACUUAAAUGGCACCACUAGACCCUUCUUUUAUUUUUUAUUUUUACUUUUUUAUUAACUUUUGUCUUUUUCUUUAAAUUUUUUUCUUUUUUUAAGUUUUAUAUUUUUUUCUUAUUUUAUUUUGUUUAUUUAUUUAUUUUAUUUAUUGUUAUUAAUUUUAAAAAGUUUGGAAUGUAUAUUUGAAAUGUUUUAUAAUAUAUAUCUUUUAAAAUUUUAAAUACUAUUUUUAAAUUAUUUUUAAAAUUUUGAAUAUUAUUUUUUAAAAUAUUAAAUAUAUAUUUUUAAUAAUAUAAAAUAUUUAAAUAUUUUAAAGGUAUGACCUUUCAAAUUUAUUAUUAAUUUUUUAAUAUUUUUAAUAUUAUUUAAUUUGUUUUAUAAUAUUUUAAAUUAUGAUUUUUAAAUUAUUUUUAAAGAUAUUCAGCUUUUUAAUAAAAAUAACCCAAAAAAUUUAAUUAAUUAUCAAAAUGACCCAUUUUUUAAUUUGGCUCCACCAAAUUUUACUGUAGAUUUCAGGUCACUUUUGUGUUUAAUUAAAAAAAUGAGUUAUUUUGAUAAUGAAUUAAAUUUUUUGUGUUAUUUUUAUAAAAAAAGUCAAGAUAUUGAAACCAUUUUUUAAAUUCUAUUUAAAAAUUAAAAAUAAUAUUUUAUUUAAAAAAGUGAAAUUUGAAUUAAUUAAAAAAUAAAAAUAUUUGUUAAAAAAGAUUUAUUUGUUAAAAAAUAAAUUUAUUUAAAUAUAUAUAUUAAAAAGUAAAAAUUUAAAUUAAAAGUUAAAAAUAUAUAUUAUAAGAUCACAUCAUGUCAGUAAUGUGACUAGACAUGAAAUUAAAUAUUAAAUAAAAAACUAAUCUUAUAUAAGGGGGUUUGGUCCCCCUUCAUAAGAAAGAAAAGAGAGAAAAAAAAAAGUUAAGUUAGUUAAUUUUUUUAUAUUUUAUAGUUAUUGUAAUAUAAUAAUUAUUUAUAUUGUAUUUAUGUGUUUUUUUUUAAUAUUAUAUAGAUAUCAAAAUGUCUUCUGGAGAUACGGAUCGCACUUCAUCGAGGAUCGACGAAACAGUAAAAUUAAUUAUGAAUUAAAUAAAAAAAUCGUUUUAAUUUCUCUUUUUUUCUUGCUAAGCACUACUUUGCUCAACAUGUUUUGAUUCAUGAAUGUGAUCUCUAUUUAGUUAUUAUUAUUCCUUUUUAACUAUUUUCUUGCAUGAAAUUAAUCUGUAUGUGUUGGUUAUAAUUUUUUAAUUUUAGUACACAUUUAUAAUUUUAUAUAUUAAUUUUUUAAUUUUAGUACACGUUCAUAAAUUUAUGUACUUAAUAUAUAUUUUUAAUAGAUAAAGACAAAAAAGAUUUUCUUAAUAGAUUUAAAAUGUUUAAAAACUUAAAGAAAUUAAAUAUAUUAAAAAAUGUUAUGUAUAGCCAAUUUUAAAACUUUAAUAUAUUUAAUAUAUUUUUAAAAAAUUAAAUAUAUUAAAAAAUGUUAAGUAUAACCAAUAUUAAAAUUAUAAUAUAUUCAAUAUAUUUUUAAAAUAUAUAUUUUAAAAUGUUAAUAUAUAUUUUAAUAGGAAAAGAGAAAAAUGAUUUUUUUAAUAUAUUUUAAAUUUUAAAAAACGUAAAAAAAAUUUAAAUAUAUUAAAUUUUUAAAUAUGUUAAAAGAAAAUGUUGAGUAUAACCAAUUUUAAAUUUUUAAUAACUGAAUAUAUUUAAAUAUAUUAAAAUUUUGAACAUAUUAAAAAAAAUUAAGUCUAUAUAUUAUAUGUAAGAUAAAAGGUCUCGUAUGUAAGAUAAAUUUUCGAGUUUGAUUAUGCCUGUUUCGGAGAUCAACUCCGUAGGACCGUGGCGGGAUCCCCGACCGGCGACCAAUAUACUCUAUCACUCGAAAAGUUUCCAAAUUUCGGAAAUAUAGUUCUGCAUUCAUCAACCUAGCCCUUUGAGCGUUCUUUUUCAUGGCAUCCCUAAUUUUUUUCAUCAUACACGUGUCCUGCCUCUAACUGUGUUGCUUGUUUCAACCCCAUUUUUGGCAUUAAGGUUGCUAGCCUAUAAAAUGUGGCUGAAAAAACCGUUGAAAUUGGCAAGUGACGCAUACGCCUCAAGACGGAGUUAAUGACCUCAACGAGGCUAGUUGUCAUUUGACCAUACCGGUACCCUUCAUCAAAACAUUGAGCCCAUUGCCACGGCUCCAUGCUACCUAACCACUGUCUGAGAGAAGGAUUGAACUCCGCCAUAUCAGUCUCUAACCUCGCCAACUUAUGUUUGAAACGGUGUGCUUCCAGCUCGUAUCCUAUGUAUGUAUUCCAAUUUUAAGUUAUGUUACUAUUCGAAUUAGGAAAUGAACUUGAAAUAAUUACAAAUACGAAUUUAAAUACGAUAUUUUUACCCAUGUUCACAAUUCGUUUGCGCCAGUCUUUGUUCCUGUACUGAUUGUAGAAGUUCACAGUGAUGUGACGAAUACAAUAAACGGACCUCCAUGGAACCUCAGAUUGUCAAAUCGCAGCAACAAGACCCUUCGACCUGUCGAAGAUAAUGCAAAUGUUGUCUUGCUUGACAACAUGUCUCCGUAAGUUCUGAAUGAAAUAUGCCCACAAUUCGGAGUUCUCAGACUCCACGAUGGCAAAAGCGAUCGGUAUUACAUUUCCAUUACCGUCUUGUGCAACCGCAAUUAGAAGUAUUUGCGUGUAUUUUCCAUAAAGUCAUGUUUCAUCAACUUGCACUAGUAGUUUGCAGUAGGGGAAGGCUCUAACACAUGGAUCGAAAGUCUAGAACAAUCAACGAAAAACUCUUCUCCCUAGUUCCAAUUGUCCAUUAGGGCCUCUAUAAGGCAACGUUUGCAAGUCCACGAUAGUUCCUAGGAUGUACUCCACCAUCGCUGAAAUCCAACCUUGAAGUUCAUUGUAUGACUCAUCCCAGUCUCCGUACAAUUUUUGCAUAGCCAUUUGUUUCGCCAACCACGCUUUCCUAUACAAAACUUUGUACUGAAAUCGAGCUUGCAUGUCUGCAAUCAAUGUUGACAUAGAAAUGAUUAGACUAUCUUUCACUAGUGGCAUGAUGCUGUUGCAAAUACUUUUGGCAUCCAAUUUCCGGUGGUCUUGAGACAUACGUGCGACACUACAUGUAUGACACCCUUUUAAUUUUCGUAUUUGCCACUAUUGAGUCCUCUGUAUAAAUGCAGCUCGAACUCGCCAACCACACCCAUCGCCGGCUCUCCAACAUUCCCCGACAUAUAAUGUCGGUGUAGAUUUGACAACCUUGUAAUUAAUCGACAACUUCAUAAUGUAUUGUUUGAUGAAAAACACACAGUCCGCCUUGUUCUCGAACCGUUGCCCAACGAAUAACUCCUCAAACUGUGAAUUUAUCUUCAAUCUAUGAGCAGAUACUAUAUCGGCAUACUCAGGAAACUCAGAUGCAUGCGCUGCAACUGGAUCUACGUUCAACAUGUCACCCCCAGGUUCAUUUAGUUAAAUAAUGCCACGACUUGGGUUACUGAAUGAAGGGUUGUGAACACCUUCAACCUCUUCUGGGCCUUCAUCAUCAAUGUCGCCCGGAACCUCAUCAACAUCGGGGUCACUAAAAUCUUCAACGUCUUGAUCAGAAUCUUUAUCAUUAUUGGUCAUUUCUCUGACAUUUGCCUCUGUGCUUAUUAUCACCUCUGGAUGUAUUUGUAAACGGGGACCGGAGGUAGGGUUGUUAUACGAACUCCCACCAUAAUUAGAAUUUUUGGGCAUCUGUGAUGUCCCUUCACAUUCUAAUUGGUCUAUCCAUCCAACAUUAAGAUCAAAGUCAAAUUCGUGAUGUUGACUUAUUAGACUAACAUUCUCAACAGGCUUUAAGUCUGCGAACUCGGCAAAUAAUUCAAUUGGUUGGGGGUUCUCACUCCCAGUCGGCCACCAUAUUUCCAUCAUAGUGCCUAAGUCGUCAUAAUCUAACAGCUGCAUCUCACAAAAUUUGAACGGAUCUGUAGAGACUGGAAACUUGUAAAAUAAUUUGGACAUCGCACUUCCACAACGGAUAGCUAUUUUCGCACUGAUCUUCCUUUUCAUUUCUGCUAGCUCCACAUUUUUUUUGAAAAGCAAACCUACUCUUUGCCGACCUUGAAAUACACAACCAACAUCACUUUCUUUAAUUUCACCAUAAAAAAUAACAUACACCAAAAACACCUCAUUAUUCAUCUUGAAUAGAUUUUUUUAACUCUCCUAGUGAACACAAUAAUUUCUCCAUUCUAUAUAUGGUAGAGAACCGAGAGGUCCACCAAAAUAAAACAUUAAAUAUUAAAUUAUUAUAUUAAAAAAUUAAAAAAAAGUACACUAUAAAGUGAUGGAGCCAUUCUAAAUGGCUCCUCCAAAUAAAAUAUUAAUUCUUAUAAUUUUAAAUUUAAUUUAAAAAAUGUUUGAAUAUCUUUAAAAUUAAUUUUAAAAUUAAUAAUUUAUAAAAAUUAUAUUUAAAAUUUAAAAUAUAUAUUUAAAAUAUUAUAAAACAAAUAAUAAAUUUGAAAAGUCAUAUCUUUAAAAAUAAUAUAUUUUAAAUAAUUUAAAAAUCAUAAUUAAAAAAAUUAUAAAACAAAUUAAAAUAUACAUUUAAAAUAUUAUAAAACUAAUAAUAAAUUUGAAAGGUCAUAUCUUUAAAAUAUUUAAAUGUUUUAUAUUAUUAAAAAUAUAUUUAAUAUUUAAAAAAUAAUAUUUAAAUUUUUUAAAAAAUUAAAAAUAAUUUCAAAUAUAUAUAUUUAAAAUUAAAAAAAUAUAUAUUAUAAAACAUUUCAAAUAUACAUUUCAAGUUUUUUAAAAUUAAUAAUAAAAUAAAUAAAAAUAAAUCAAUAAAUAAAAAUUAAGACAAAAAUAAAAAAAAUGUCAGAGAAAUGACAAAAGUUAAAAAAAAAAGUAAAAUUAAAAAAAAAAUAGAAGCAGGGUGUUCUGGUGGUGGCGCCGUUUAAAUUGGCUCCACCAGAAAUUAGAAAAUUGUUUUUAAAGUCCCUCAUUUUUUCAGAUAUACAUUUCAAAUUUUUUAAAAUUAAUAACAAUAAAUAAAAUAAAUAAAUAAACAAAAUAAAAUAAGAAAAAUAUAAAACUUAAAAAAAGAAAAAAAUUUAAAGAAAAAGACAAAAGUUGAUAAAAAAGUAAAAAAAAUAAAAAAAGUGGCGCCAUUUAAGUUGGUUCUACCAAAAAAUAGAAAAUUGUUUUGAACUUUGAAGUCCCUAUUUUUUUAAAAUUUGCAGUAUUUUUAUAAUAUUUAUACAUGACGCCAUUUUACAUAGCUCCACCAAAAAAUUAAUUUUUUAAUGUUCCCUGCUGACGUGGCAAGUUGAUAGCGCCAUAUAAUUUAGCUCCACCAACUUUUACUGUAAAUUUUAGAUCAUUUUAGUGUUUAAUUAAAAAGGUGGGUCAUUUUGUUACUUAAUUAAAUUAUUUGAGUUAUUUAAAUAAAAAAGCCGUGAAUGGCUGAUUCCCAAUAUCUGAUAAGAAAAUGAACAUAAAUAUGUGAUUGUGAGGCGACAUUAGGAACGGGUAAUGGAGUAGAGAAAAUCAUAGUUCAUAAUGUGGGGAAUAAGAUGCCAUUCUCUGCAGUUUGUUUCCUGAUAAGUUAGAGUGUUGUCAAUUGAAUUUGGAAUUUGAGGAAUCUGAUAAAGUUGUCUUCUCUACUGUCGGCCUUCGAACUGUUCAUCUUACUGGUUAAUAUCUGCCUACUUCCCUUAUUCAUCAUAAUGAUGAAUUGUAUCUUUUUUUUGGAUUUUUUAUGUUUUGAAUUUACUUCAUGUUCUCUGUGGCGUAGGACUUCUUUUCUACUGUUUACAUUAACUAUGUUGGUUAGGGAAUCAUAUGGGGAAGAUAUUGCAGAAACAAAAACAGAAAGAUCGGAUAAAAGCGAAGAAAGUGAGUAUGGCGGUAGUUUUAUUGACGAUGAUGAUCCGAAAUUCGUCUCAUCUUCUCAAGAAUUUUCUGGCGAAGGAAGGCGUAAGAAGAAAUACCAGAUCAGUGAAUCUGAAAAUGAGGGAAGUUCUCAGCAAAUGGAUUUCACUAGUGGUAUUGCUGCUACUGUGGAAGUAUUGGACAGUGAACUUGAAGUUACAUUGCCCAUCUCCUCACUAUCUGCAUCGAAGAGUGGAAAAGCUGAUGUGAAGGAAAUAGCUUGAGAAAAAUAGAUAAUCAUAAUGACAAUGAGAUUGAAGAUGAUGCUACCAUGUUAGAAGGGACUAAUGCUGUGAGAGGUGUUGAGCUUGAAUGGUAUGAUUGUUCUAUGGCUUUAAUAGAAACAGAUAAAUCUAUCAAAUGAUAUUGAAAUUUGAUGCAAUAUCUAAAGUAACUAUAUUAUGAAGGCGAGUCAUGGGUGCCAACUAUCAUCUGUUUAAGAUAUGGUUGUUUGCUUCAUAGGAUUGUGUUUAUGACUUUUUGUUAUUUCUUACUGGCUUACCGUAAAUCAGGGAAUAGGCAUGGAGAAAAACAAAAGCAUGAGCUUCGUGAAGAGCUCUGGCAAAGGAGGAAAGAUCACCGGGACCUGAUCAUCGCAUGAUUGAAAAAGCUUGUCUACUUAGUUGUAAGCUUUACAAUCAAAUUGCCAUGUAAGUAAUGACUACUUGCUGGCUUCCAGUGAAGUGGGUACUGAAGAUGGAGCUAAGUUAAAGAGGAAAAGAAAAGAACAUUUUGAAUAUAAAACACUCGAAGACGAUGUUACCAAAGAGGAUGAAGUCCAGAAAAGUGGUUCAAAUUUGAACACUGUAACCGAGGAUGUAGCAGUGGAGGAUAAGGAAACUCAAAACCAAGAUAAUCACAAGUAGGUGUUUAUCCUUAGACUCACAAUACCGUGAAUAGCCAUACUGCAAUUGCAGUUUUCUCAUUUCUAAUUUCUAAUUUAUGAUACAUAUAUCUUUGAUGCCUGAGUUCGCUUUGCUAGCAAAUGACAUUGUUUUCUUUCUUAAAAUCCUUCUAGGAAGAGGGAAAAUAAGAGAAAGUGUAAGGAUAAAGAAGGGAUGCUAUGAAGAUGGAAGUUGGAACCACCUAGCUAACCAGCCAAUGAAAAGAAGAUAACUGUUGUGGAAAUGGAUGCCAAGGAUGCUAAUGAUAAGGAAAUUCAGCUGUCAAAUUGAUUUAUCAUUGAAGAGUUAGAAAGGUUCUGAUAUAUUCUUCUAGGGUAUUUUUGUUCUAAUUUUGGCACUCAAUGAUAAUGAUUUAUUUAAUUCGGUUUUAAGGUUGAUUUGAUUAUGGUUAUUUGCUAAUAUUAUUAAAUUUAAUAUUUUUAUAAUAACUUUUGUCAAAUACGGAUUUGAGAUUAAACGAAAAUCAUGCAUUAAGCAAUUUGAAUAAAUGGAAGAUGAUUUAAUUGUUGAUUGGAGUGGAAUAAUCUGCCAUUUGCGAAUAGAAUUUUCUUUUCUUUAAAAAAAAAAAUCAGUUUCAAAAUUUGUAGUUUACGUUUCAUAUUGGAGCUCGAGUCUUGUCGGCAUUAAUAAAAAAAAUCGUAUAAUUACUUAAACAAUGUAAUUAAAAUAAUCGACAUCACUGUUCAGGCUGAGGCAACGGAAAGAUCCAAAGAUAUUUAGAGAAGAAAUAGAGACCGUUUAAAUGCGAUAUUGUAUUUUUAUUAAUAAAUAAAAAACAAAAAAAUAAUUAAUUAAUCAGUGGAAUUCAAGAAGAUAAAGAUUGAGUGGAGGUGGGAAAGAUAUUUAGAAAAAAAAAAAACACUUAAAAAGAAUUUAAUAUAGGACUAAUAUUAUAUAGCUAUUUACGAGCUACGUGGCGCAUCAAAUGAAAAUAAAAUAAAUUCCUGACAUUUAUGCGUCUAAAGAACGCGCUGAUUCCUCCAUCAAUCACCGUUUAUCAUCUACUGAUACGAUAAUCAUACCAGUUACCAAGCUUUAAAACGAAGGUUCUAAAGUUAUUAUAAUAGAUUCGUGUACAGGUAAUUCCUAUCUAAAAUAAAAUAAAAAUAUAUUCCGCAUUUCUCGUUACGAUAAAUUCACCUGAACCUUCAAACCAAAACCGCUCAAUUCAAUUCAAUUUAACUCAGCUCAGCUCAGCUCAACUCACUUAACUCUUUUCUGCUGCGGUGGCGAUGGGGGCGGCGAUGUUGUCGGAGUUGGCGACGGAGAUCGUGGUGCCAGUGUGCGCCGUGAUUGGAAUAGCUUUCUCGUUGGUGCAGUGGGUGAUGGUGUCGCGCGUGAAGCUUACCUCCGAGAGCCAUGCGUCGUCGGCGAAUAGUAGCAAGAAUGGUUACGGUGAUUACUUGAUUGAGGAAGAGGAAGGAAUCAAUGACCAUAGCGUUGUCACCAAGUGCGCUGAUAUUCAAAACGCUAUCUCUGAAGGUUAGAUCUAAGAUUUUUUUGUUUUUCUUUUCUUUAAUCUUUUUUUGAAGAAUUCUUUUCUUUAAUCUUUCGCGUUAUCUUUUCAGUGGCAAGAAUUUUCAAGAAACGUUAUACCAUUGAUAUUCACCAGUUUAGAACGUAGUAAUAAGCGAUUUAGUUAACAUGGAAAUUAAAAUUUAGUUAUUUUAAUGCUCAACUUCGUUAUUUUGUUAAAAUUUUAAGUAUGUAAUUUUUGUUAAAGUUUAACUUUACGAGGAGGUAAUCAACGGUUUAAUUUAAAAAUUUUAAUUUAGAGGUUUUUUAUUUUUGUUGCAAUUAAAUUAUAGAAUUUGUGAUGAAGCUCAAACAGCGAGUUUUUUAAAGGUAAGUAUUUGUUUAAUUAUUUUCAUCUUAAAUGAUUUGGGUUGAAUUUUGAAUUCUUUGCACACCAUCAAGGAAACUAUCAGUAAUAAAAAAUCGAAUUCUUUUAUAAAAAUUAAAAAUUUAUAAAAUAUAUUUGAUCUAGUUUUUAGUUUAAGGGGAAUGGAAUUGGGUGCUUAGUAGCAUUGGUUAAGGUUAUAUUACUGUACUAAUGUAUAAUUACUAAAAAAAGUAAUGUAUAAUUAAUUAUUUUUUAAUUCAACAAAAACAAUAUAUUAAAUACAAAAUAAUCUUUCAUAAAAUAGUAAUUUAAUAAUUAGAUCAAUUUUUUAUCAGUUGGUUCAAUAUAUAUAUAUCUUCCCGACUAGACAGGCCACCAAUUCCCAGUUCAUAGAGUCUUCCAUUUACAUUUAAUUUAGUUUUAAUUAAUCUUUUUUUUAAUUGGAUAUAAGAUUGAUUCUUUUUAGUUAUAACUGGGACAGGCUUUAUCUUUGAUGUUACUGUAAGUUAUUAUACGUUGUCUUAUGCAAAUAAAGGUCAUUUGCCCUCCAUGGAUGUUAGAAUUAUUAGCCUCCCUUGCACAUGUGCUGCACGUGGCCUGUUUUCCUUAUCUUCCUUUUCUUGAAAGUUUCUUUGGUAUGCUGACAAUGGAAGAUUUAACUUUCCAGUGGGAUCAAGAAAAUUAGCUUGGGGUUAACAAAUUAUUAUCUCACGUCUCACUUUUUUUAAUAUACAUGGAGGAAUAUGUGUCAUCGAUGAUUUCACUUUUGAAGUUAUAACAAUUUUCAUUAAAGUUGUAUAUGAUAAUUUUCUUUUUAAAGUAAUAAUAAUCAUUGAGAAUAUAAUAUCAGCAUAGAGUAUUGUUGGAGCCUUUUAAAUAAUUGAUACUUAUUCCUUGCUCCAACUUUUGUAAACAAAAAAGAUAAUCAUUUAAUAAAGAUAUUUUCUGUUUUAUUGCUUUGGAAGCUGUUUAAGGUUUGGAAGCUUGUCUUAUGAACUUGUUAUGCAGCUUUUAUUCUGUAAGGGUUAAAUACUUUCAGUUCCGUAUUUGAGAUUUUCCAAAUGUUUUAGCACCAGUAACUAAAUAAUUUGAUAAUAGAAAUGAAAAUUUAUUAUUGACACUAAUACAUUUCAAUACGACAAUUACAACAACAAAGAUAAUAUAUUGAUAAUCUAGGAGUUAUAUAUUAAUUGAUAAUUAUGAUUAUAAUAUAUUAUUUAAUAAUAACGUAACUAUUUAUUUCAAAAUAAUUGAAGUUGAGAAAUGCUUAUGUAUCUACAUGAUGAUGCUUUUGUUACCUUUUUUUUUGUGAAAAAGAUUUCAAUAUCAUGAACUAUUUGGGAGAUGCAUUAUUGAACUUUCUAGUACUAAAGAGUAAAAUCCUAAGCCUUGUUGCUCUGGUCUUAGUUUCAUGCACAAGUCAGUUCUUCAAUUCGUGGUGAUGCAGUAUCCUGCAUUUGUGCUCAUUGUGAGAUUUGGUCUCGUGUAUGAUUCUUGAUCAUCUCUCGGUUAACCUGUGGAUGUAUCGGUGUAACAGGUGCAACAUCCUUUCUUUUUACUGAAUAUCAGUAUGUUGGCAUCUUCAUGAUUGCUUUCGCUAUCCUGAUUUUCCUCUUCCUGGGCUCUGUUGAGGGCUUCAGCACGAAGAGCCAGCCUUGUACCUAUGAUAAGGAGAAGAUGUGCAAACCAGCUCUUGCGACUGCUAUCUUCAGUACUGUAUCCUUCUUGCUUGGUGCCAUCACUUCAGUUCUUUCUGGAUUCCUUGGAAUGAAAAUUGCUACCUAUGCCAAUGCAAGAACAACCUUAGAAGCAAGAAAAGGCGUCGGAAAGGCUUUUAUUGUUGCGUUUAGAUCUGGUGCAGUAAUGGGUUUUCUCCUUGCAGCAAAUGGUUUAUUGGUACUUUACAUUGCCAUCAAUCUAUUCAAGCUGUACUAUGGUGAUGACUGGGAAGGCCUUUUUGAGGCUAUUACUGGUUAUGGUCUUGGUGGAUCCUCUAUGGCACUCUUUGGAAGAGUUGGUGGUGGUAUCUAUACAAAGGCUGCUGAUGUUGGUGCUGAUCUCGUAGGAAAGGUUGAAAGGAACAUUCCAGAAGAUGACCCAAGAAACCCAGCUGUAAGCCUAGUUAUUUUUUUUGGAAAAUAGUUAUUUGAUCAUCUUUCUGCAAGUAAUUAUUUUCUCGCAUAGAACCCUUAAAUGAUAUAAAUUUUUUUUAUUAAUCAGGUCAUUGCUGAUAAUGUUGGUGAUAAUGUCGGGGACAUUGCUGGAAUGGGGUCUGAUCUAUUUGGCUCAUAUGCUGAAUCUUCUUGUGCUGCUCUUGUUGUAGCUUCUAUAUCCUCCUUUGGAAUAAACCAUGACUUCACGGGCAUGUUGUAUCCUCUGCUCAUUAGUUCUGUUAGUAUUCUUGUCUGUUUGAUCACAACCCUAUUUGCUACCGAUUUGUUCGAAAUCAAGGUUGUCAAGGAAAUUGAACCAGCUUUGAAGAAGCAGCUCAUCAUCUCCACUAUUCUUAUGACAGUAGGAAUUGCAAUUGUUACUUGGAUUGGUGUGCCAUCUUCCUUCACCAUUUACAAUUUUGGGGUUCAGAAAGUUGUUAAGAAUUGGUAAGUUUACAUGGUUCUUAUAGAUAACAUUCAUGUUGUAAAAGUAGCAUUCCUUGAAUUUCCUGAUGGAUGCAUACUAUAACACAGGCAUGCUCCUAAUUUUGUGAGAUUAGGAAAGAUUAACUUGUUAUUAUCUUUUGGUGAGUUACCAGUUGAUAUUGGGCUAAUUAGUUUCUUAAAAUCAGCAUAGUUUGAGAAAAUUGACUUGGUAUGGUUGUACCCUAAUAACAUGAAUAUUAUAAUGAACUUCACAAAAGAUCUGAAGCAGAAGUUUGCAUGUGGUAUAUCUUUGCUUAGCAUCCUAUUUCUCAUGUAGUUGCUUUCCUCAUGCUUGUAAAAUGAUUUUGAUUUGCAGGCAACUAUUUUUGUGCGUGGGUGUUGGUCUCUGGGCUGGACUUAUUAUUGGUUUUGUUACCGAGUACUACACCAGCAAUGCUUACAGGUAUGGGAAUAGUGCUUUGACUAAUUAUCUAUAGUGGUAUUCAUGUUUUUGCAUCUUAAUUGAUCAUUUCCUGUAUUUGCAGCCCUGUGCGGGAUGUUGCUGACUCUUGCAGGACGGGAGCAGCAACCAAUGUUAUAUUUGGCCUUGCUUUAGGAUACAAAUCUGUGAUCAUCCCAAUUUUUGCCAUAGCAAUCAGUAUUUUUGUUAGUUUUAGCUUUGCUGCUAUGUAUGGGAUUGCAGUUGCUGCCCUUGGAAUGUUAAGCACCAUUGCAACUGGGUUGGCUAUCGAUGCUUAUGGUCCCAUCAGUGACAAUGCUGGAGGUAUUGCUGAGAUGGCUGGUAUGAGCCAUCGCAUUCGUGAGAGAACUGAUGCUCUUGAUGCUGCUGGAAACACCACUGCUGCCAUUGGAAAGGUACUGCAUUUAAUUAUCUUUCCCAGGGGCUGUUGUUACGAAAGUGAUUUUAACUUCAAAAGCAGUUCACUUAAAUUUUAGUAUAGCAUAAAUGGAAUUACCGUGUUUGAUGAACUAUCCUUAUAUGUUUCCAGGGAUUUGCCAUUGGGUCAGCGGCGUUGGUGUCUUUGGCUCUAUUUGGUGCCUUUGUGAGCCGUGCUGCUAUCACGACCGUAGAUGUCUUGACCCCAAAAGUUUUCAUUGGUUUAAUAGUUGGAGCCAUGCUUCCUUACUGGUUCUCUGCAAUGACCAUGAAGAGUGUGGGAAGUGCUGCUUUAAAGAUGGUUGAGGAGGUUCGCAGACAGUUCAACACCAUUCCCGGUCUCAUGGAGGGUCAUGCCAAGCCCGAUUAUGCUACCUGUGUCAAAAUCUCAACUGAUGCCUCUAUCAAGGAGAUGAUCCCUCCUGGUGCCCUUGUUAUGCUUACUCCCCUCAUUGUUGGAACUUUCUUUGGUGUUGAGACUCUUUCUGGUGUCCUUGCUGGGGCUCUUGUUUCCGGUGUUCAGGUAGCAAAUUCACGGUUUAUUUUCCUUUGGUUUAUUUAUGAAUGGUCACUAUGCAAUCUAUAAGAAAAUUUUUGUAAGUUACCAUUGAAAGCUUGACUGAUUUUGUAAGUUAAUUGACUUCGUACUUUUGACAGAUUGCAAUAUCUGCAUCCAAUACUGGUGGGGCAUGGGACAAUGCCAAGAAGUACAUUGAGGUAAAUGACCUUUCCCUGAACUUCUUUAUGGGCUUCAACACUUUCUUUGCGCCAAUUGAUUUAUAUCAUGUUCAUUGCCAGGCCGGUGCGUCCGAGCAUGCAAAGACCCUCGGUCCAAAAGGAUCCGAUCCUCACAAGGCAGCUGUCAUUGGUGACACUGUUGGAGACCCUCUCAAGGAUACCUCCGGUCCAUCACUUAACAUUCUUAUCAAGCUUAUGGCAGUCGAGUCACUUGUGUUUGCUCCCUUCUUCGCCACACACGGUGGUCUACUCUUCAAGAUCUUUUAGGGAAUGGAUGGCUGGAAAUGCACCGUGGAAGGCUGGUUAGCAUCUCUGUUUAAAUGGUUUAAUAUAUAAUACGAUAAUUGAGUUUGACAUUUUUUUCUAAUAUGGUUCCUGUAUUUCAUAAAAGUUGAUAUAUUUUGGUGUUUGAAGGCAACUUGUUUAACUUUUUAAUGUUAAAUUUAGGUUUUAGAAUUGAUUGGAUGAAAAUCCAUAAUUAAACUAAUUAUAUUAGUAGAUAGUUUUCAUCAAAUUAACCAGGGCGUAACUAGCGGGUUGACAAGGGGCCGGUCCUUUUUUUCAUUCAUUUAGAUCUUUUAAAAUUUUUAAAAUUUUAAAUUAAUAAAGGUAAAAUUUUACUUUGUUACCCUUAAAAAUGAUAAAAUUUUGAUUUAAUCUUUUAAAAAUGAUAAAGAUAUAUACUAUGAAAAUGGUAAAAUUAUAUUUUUACUAUUGUAAAAAUUCUAAUUUAAUUUCGGUCUGCUAGAAAAUUUUUUUGCUUUCACUCUUGAAUGAAAUCAUAUUGUUUGGAUAGUAUUUGACUAAUUAAGCGUAAAAUCAAACAAAUUAUCAUUUAACAUUACAUUUAUUCUAUUAAUAAAAUCAUGAAAUAUUAAAUUUUAAUCAAAUCAAACCUAAACUUAAAUAUUAAAAAUUAGAAUCAUUACUUUUGUUAAAAUAUAUAUAUUUGUUAAUUAUAGAUAUCAAAGUAGAUAAAAAUGAUACAAGUAUCGCAUUAGAAAGCAUCAAAACAUAUAUUUUUAAGAAAUUAAAACAUUGUUGGCAAUAUAAUUGGAUUUCAAGUUUUAGAGUAUAUAAAUAAAAGAUUAUAUAUACACAUAUGGAAACAUUUUUCAAAGCAAAAUAAAAGAAAGACAAGAUAAACUUAAUUUCGGACUGUAAUUGUUUAAUACAUUAAAUUUAUCAUUUUAAUUUUUUUUAAAAAUUACCAAUCUAGCAUUAUUAGUCAUUUGUUAAAAUAAUUCUGAAUUUACAAAGAAUGUUUCCUUUCCUUAGAAGAACCAAUUCUUCUGCUAGCUUUGUUUCUAAUCAAUCCCAAGAAUCUGACCAAACCUCAAACAAUACUGUUAAUAAACAAGAAGAACAUUAUGAAAAUAUUUCCCAAAGAUUUGAUAAUUGAACUCUUCCAAGAGUUCCAACAAACCAAGUUUACAAAAACACAACUUUUAAAAAUUUAAAUGCUUUUUGCAGUUAUGUUAUAAAAACAAAAGAAAGGAGUUUAUCUAUUCAAAAAGAAUAUGAAACAAUCCAAUUAUUAGAUAAAGUCGUCAUUAAUAAACUCAAAGAACAAAGAUACAAAUACAUCCAUUUUGGAUUAGUCCAGGUUGGAGUCAAACCUCUUAGUGUUGAAGCCACUAAAAAUACCUCAAUAUUAGUAGUCUUAAGAGACCAAAGACACAUCAUGUUUAAUGACUCAUUAUUAGGAACUAUAGAAACAAGCCUAUGUACUGGCCCAAUACAUUUUAAUUGUUAUCCAAAUUUUAUGGUUUCUUUGACUGAUAAAAACAUUUUACAAUCUUUAACACUUCAAAUACAUACCCAUAACUACAAAAUGCUUCCAGGUACAAAAGUGUUAACUUUGGUUUAUAGACUCCAUUUCAAAGCCAUGUAUUCUGUAGUUAAUACCAAGGUUUUACUCCAAAGCCCAAAAGCAUGGUCAUUGAUUAAUCCAUUUUGAUUUUGGGUUUUAUAAACAUUUGAAACCAUUGUCAUUUGUUGUAAUAAACUAAGAAUAUUAUAUUCGGACAUUCCAUCUAUAUUCCAUUCAUAGAUUGUAUUAGCAUUGUAUUUAUUUUGGAAAACAGGUUUUUCUUCUAUGUUAAGAUCAGGUGCAGUGAUUUUUGGAUAAUAUAAUCUUUUUGGUUCUUUCCAAGCUAUCUUGUUAAUUUGUUGUUCAUCUGACUGAUCCGAGUCAGAUUGGGAGGAUUGGUGUAAUGUAUUUACUAAAUAUUGGGUUUGUAUUGGGGUAUCAGGGGCGAUUAAUUUAGACUUAUGGUUUUCUAAAGCAUUAAGUCUAUUUUGGAUUUCUGUUAGGAAAUCAUUUUGGGAUUUUUGGAAAGCUUUUGGAAUCUCAUAAGGUGUGAAUAUUGGUUCUUUGAAACUUUUUUCGGUUAUCUCUUUUACUGGUUCUCUCUUGAUUGGUUGACUUUCUACCAAAUUUUUAAUAUAAUCUAAUUGUUUUCCUAUUGUAUGAAGAUUAAUAUUUGUAUAAUUGUUUUGUUCUACUAUCAUUUUGAUAUCCUUUGAUGAGAUUUGUUCUUCUGCAUCGGGAGCUCUCAUUCUUAAAGGGUUUUCUUUUAUUCCAGUAUUCUUAUGAAGAUAUUGAACCUCCAUUAAAGGGGGAUGUCGAGAUUCAACUUCUCCUUUAUUAGUUUGCCAGCUAGUAUUAUAUCUUAUUGUAUUAACAGAUCCUAAAUAAUAUUCUUCAAACCAUUCAAAGAAUUUUAUAUGGACUUUAUGAGUAUUCAUAAAUCUAUAAUAUUCUUGAAGAAUAUUUUCUUUUUUAUCAUUAUAAUUUUUAAAGUAAUCUUCUCUUUUUUGCUUAUUUUUGUUGGAAUAGAAGUGCUUUCUACACCAUUAUUUAUUUAUUUCAAACAAUUUUUCUAAAACAAAUAUUUCUGAAUUUUCUCUUUGUCUUGCAUUAUUAGUCAUUGAUGAAUAAGUUGGUGACAUGUUAGGUGAAUUUUGGGGACUCUCUUCUUGUCUGGCAUAGAUAGGUUGAGCUAUAUUUGAGGAAUUAUCUAUUCCUUGUAAAUUGGUCCUAAAUGUUGUUGGGAUAGAAGAGACAGAGGCUCUGGCUGUCCUAAAAUCUACUGUUUGUGUUUCUGGAUUUGACUCUUCUUCUAUAUUUAACCUCCUAAAAGCUGUGCUGGUACUUUCUAUUUCGAAGGAGUGUCUUGGAGGCAUUCUUUGUGGCCUAUUGAAUUUUAAUUCAACUGUGCCAUCUUGGUGCUGAGAAAUUUCACUUAAUGAAGUGUUUCUUAUGGGGUUGGUGCCACAGGGUCUGUAGCACCUUCAAGUUUCCACUUAUCAGGAAGGUUUAUCUCAUGCCAUUGUAUUGUUUUGGGGAUUGAAGUAUGAGAUCUUGUGGUGUCUGUCUCUAUUAAGAGGGUUUCUCCUUUUGGGUUUUGGAGUAAAGCCUUGGUAUUAACUACAGAAUACAUGGCUUUGAAAUGGAGUCUAUAAACCAAAGUUAACACUUCUGUACCUGGAAGCAUUUUGUAGUUAUGGGUAUGUAUUUGAAGUGUUAAAGAUUGUAAAAUGUUUUUAUCAGUCAAAGAAACCAUAAAAUUUAGAUAACAAUUAAAAUGUAUUGGGCCAGUACAUAGGCUUGUUUCUAUAGUUCCUAAUAAUGAGUCAUUAAACAUGAUGUGUCUUUGGUCUCUUAAGACUACUAAUAUUGAGGUAUUUUUAGUGGCUUCAACACUAAGAGGUUUGACUCCAACCUGGACUAAUCCAAAAUGGAUGUAUUUGUAUCUUUGUUCUUUGAGUUUAUUAAUGACGACUUUAUCUAAUAAUUGGAUUGUUUCAUAUUCUUUUUGAAUAGGUAAACUCAUUUCUUUUGUUUUUAUAACAUAACUGCAAAAAGCAUUUAAAUUUUCAAAAAUUGUUUUUUUGUAAACUUGGUUUGUUGGAACUCUUGGAAGAGUCCAAUUAUCAAAUCUUUGAGGAAUAUUUUCAUAAUGUUCUUCUUGUUCAUUAACAGUAUUGUUUGAGGUUUGGUCAGAUUCUUGGGAUUGAUUAGAAACAAAGCUAGCAGAAGAAUUGGUUCUUCUAAGGAAAGGAAACAUUCUUUGUUUUCGUAUUUCCUACAGGGGGUUCUACUAUCUGAAUCUCUGAAUUAAUUAAGUUGCCUACGGGGAUACUUAGUCCUUGACACGCCUAACCCAUGGCUAACUGGACACUGUAUCAAUUCUCAGCAAAAUAAUAAUACGAUAAUAAAGAUAGUUAAACCAGAACUCAGAAAUAACGAAAACAAAUUGAAUAUUUUCUUAAACUUAAGAAUACCUGCUCCUCCUUGGCUCUGAUACCAGGAAGUCCCGAGGAUCUGAGGACCGGAUUGGUAAUGAUAUAUUUUUAAGAAAAUAGUUUAAGUUUGAAAACUUAAUUUUGUAAAUGCAAUUUGAGAAAAUAUUAUUUAAUUUGAAAUUUUGGAAACUUAAAAUGAAACUUUGUUAAUGCGAAAGUUUUGAAAAACUUUGAGAAACUUUUGGGAGAAACAACUCAAAUGGGUAAAAUCGAGUUCUGCCUUCCAUUCACAAACUGAUAGCCUUUUAUAGAGGGCUAUUCUCUCCUUACAUCAUCUAAAUCGUUUAAUCAUUACAUUUGAAACUUUUGAAAAUAAAUUUUCAGAGAAUAUAUUCUCUGGUUACAAAAUACAAAUUACUUAACUAUUCACUUGUCUUUUCUUGCAGGGAAUAUUUCCCGUUCACGCAUUAUUCUGUUGCAGGGAAUCUUUCCUGUUCACAUCAUUUCUUGCAGGGAAUCUCUCCUGUUCACGCAUUAUUUUGUUGCAGGGAAUCUCUCCUGUUCACACAUUAUUUUGUUGCAGGGAAUCUUUCCUGUUCACAUCAUUUCUUGCAGGGAAUCUCUCCUGUUCACGGAUUAUUUUGUUGCAGGGAAUCUCUCCUGUUCACAUCAUUUCUUGCAGGGAAUCUCUCUUGUUCAUGUAUUAUUUCUUUUUGGACCUGGUGAUGGUUACCGAAGUGGUAUCAUCUGCAAGAUCCACCGUUUUGAUUGAGGAUGCCGGAGAUUCAUCUUCAGAUUCGGAGUCCAAUGAGCUGAGCAUUUCAGCCAUGAGUUUUUUGUAUUCUUUUUUGGUCUUGGCUUGAGCUAACAUUGCACUGGCUGUUGACUUUGCUUGAAGAAAUUUUACUGUGGUUUGAUCCGGGGCUGCAGACUUACAUAAUCUUGGAUUCUUGUUGAAAAAAUUAUCCAAAUAUUUUGAAUCAUAUUUCUCAUCAUUAAAUUUGUCCCACCAUUUAGUCCUGUAAUUGCGAACUAAUAAUGGAAUUCCAAUGUAUUGGUCUUGCUCAUAAGAAUAAUUCCAUGAGACAAUCCAGGAAAUGCAUAGUUUUGAGAAAAAAUCGAUUGUCCUGUAAAUGUGUUUUUGAUCUGGUUCAGGAUGAAAUUUGUCAAAGAAUUUGGGCCAUAAGUUUUGAAUUUUUUCUGGUAGUAUCUUAAAGGAUGAUGGUCCAUACCAAUUCCAUCACUCUUGGAACCAGUUUGGGAAUUUGAAUUGGGUGCCAUAUUUGAAAUAUAUGAGCCACGAAUGUCUCAUGUGUUGGUUGUUCAUUAAAAAGGCAUUGUACCAUGCCAUUUGGUAAUCCCAAUAUGUAAAAUAUGGGUAAUGGUCUAUUUUGGUGGUAAAUUUGGCUGGGAAUUUCUUUGAAGCAUUUGGGUUUUCACUCCAAUCUCUUGGUCGGAGAAUUUUUAAUAUUUGGGCUGUUGAAUGGGUAAUAAAAUUUGGAUCUUUUGGAUCUGUGUAAUGUUUGAACAAAACAGAUCCAGUUUGGACCAGUAUAUUUUCAUAAUACUGUUGGGGUUUUUGAGAAUCCAAUGGUUUGAAAUGCCAUCCAUUGAAAAGUUCUUUUGCCAGUAUAUGUGGAGGUUUUUCUGAAAAUUCUUCCUCCAUAACAAGAAUUUUUUCAAAAUAUUUGUUUGGAAGAUAUUGUGAAGAUUUUUGUGUAGCAGUUUGUGAAGAUACCGCUAUCUCUUUUGGAAAAACCUCUUGGAGAGAAGUCUCUUUUAAAACAUUUUUAAGAGAUUUUGGUUUGUGUAAAACAAUCUCUUUAUUUUUUGAAACCUUUGCUGCUUCAGCAGCAAUUUGUUUGAGAGGAGUUUCCUCUUUCAUUUGCGAAAAGGCCAAUGCUACUUCUGGAGAUUGAGAUAGGGACUCAAUCCAUUUUUUGAUUUGAGAACCAAUCUCAUUUGGAUCUUGUGCAUCUUGAAUUAUUGUAUUUUUGGAGGAUUUUGACGAUGAUGAUGAUUUCUCAUCUUCUUCUUGGCAAAUUUCAUACCAUGUUUUAAUUGGUUUCGAUGUGAUUUGGGUUUAUGAUGAUUCUUCUAUUUUCCCUUUUCCUUUGUCUCGGAGUUUGGGGGGCAUUUUUGAAGAAACUCUCUGGUGAGAAAAUCAGGCAAAGAAUUAGUUUCUCCUUUGAUGUAUUCAAUAUCAAAAUCAAAUAUGCUCAAAAUUGCCUGCCAUCUUGCAAAAAUCUGUUUUGAGGCAAUGUUUUGAACAUCUUUUUGUAAAACUUCUUUUGCUGAUUUGCAAUCGAUUCGCAAAAGGAAUUUUUGAUUUAAUAAAUCACUUUGGAAUUUUGUAAUGCAUAAAACAAUUGAUAAAAUUUCUUUUUUAAUAGUACUAUAAUUUUGCUGAGUAGGAUUCCAGUGUCUGGAAGUAAACUGGACUACUUGCUCUUUUCCUCCUUUAACUUGUUUUAGGAUCCCACCAUACCCUAUUUCAGAAGCAUCUGUUUCAACUAUCUUGGGGGCAUUUGGAUCAGCUAAAUAUAAACAAGGAAGCUUAGUGAUUUGUUUUUUGAUUUGGGUGAUAAUAUUGGUAUGGUUUUUUGUCCAAGGUUGUGGAUUCUUUUUGAGUCUAUCAUAUAAUGGUUUACAUAAUUUGCUAAGACCUGGAUAAAAGUCUAUAACAUAAUUGAGGCUUCCUAAGAACCUUUGUAAUUGGACUUUAUCAAGAAUUUGGUCUGGGAAUUUGCUAGCAAAUUCUAUAGAUCGUUCUAUUAGGGUAAUGGUUCCUUGGGUAAUGUAAUGACCUAAAAACCUUACUUUGGUUUGGAAUAAACUUAUUUUGGAUUUAGAAACUACUAAACCAUUAUUUCUUAUGACUUUUAUAAAGAUUGAUAUAUGUUUAAAGUAUUUUUCUAAGUUUUCUGAAAAUACUAAUACAUCAUCGAUGUAUACUAUUGUGAAUUGAGAAUAUUGGUAAAAAAUAUCAUUCAUUAUUCUUUGGAACUCAGAUGGAGCAUUUUUUAACCCAAAAGGCAUUACAUUCCAUUCAUAUUGUCCAAAUGGUACAGUAAAUGUUGUUUUAUAUCUUUCUUCUUCUUUUAUUUGGAUUUGCCAAAAUCCGGAUUUCAUAUCAAAUUUUGAGAAAAUAUUUGCAUUACAAAGUUUUUGUAGCAAAUCUUUCUUAUUUGGUAUUGGGUAUCUAAUCCAUUUUAAGGCUUGAUUGAGAGGUUUGUAAUUAAUUACUAAUCUUGGCGUUCCUCUUUCAAGUUCUGCAUUUUUUAUUACAUAAAAUGCUGAACAACUCCAAGGGGAACUGCUCUUUCUAAUUAAUUUUUUAUUAAGAAGGUCUUGUAUUUCUUUUCUACAAAAUUCUUCCAUUUCUUUGUUCAUUUGUAUUGGUCUUGUUUUUGUGGGUAUUUGUCUUUCAUCAAAAUCGUUUUCGUAUGGUAAUGUUACUUCAUGUUUCUUUCUAUUCCAAAAGGCAUUAGGAAUGUCAGAGCAAAUUGUUGAUUCUAUUUCCUUUUUGAUUUGAUCUAUUCUUUUUUGUAUUUCUCUUUUUCUUAAUUGUUCAUUUAAUUUUUUAAAACAUAUUUCUUCUUUUAGGAAAGAGAUUUGCUGCUUCUGUUUGUAAUUAAUUAAAUUAUUAAUUUGUCCAUUAUGAAUGGAUAAAGAUUUUAAUAGGUUGAGGUUUCUUAUUUUCGGUUUUUCUACAAAAGGAAAUUCUACCUUAGUGUUUAAAACUUUAGUGGAGAUAGAAUUAUUUGUUACUUUAUAAGGUUUGAGUAAGGAUAUGAAUGGGGUUCCUAAUAUGACAUCUUGGGUAAUAUCUUUUACUAUUAAAAAACAUGUUUGAUAUUUUAUACCUUUGUUGGAUAUUUCUGCAUUGGGAAUUUUGUAAGUAAUUUUUAAUUUUUUACCAUUUGCAGCCUUAAGAGAUUCUGAUGUUUUAUUAUAAUAUUUUGUUGGAAUUAUUCCUUCUCUAAUGCAGUUUUGGUCUGUUCCUGUAUCAAAAAGGGCUAUUGUUUCUAAUUGAAAUUCAUUAUUUAUGACAAUAUUUAUUUUUAUUAAAUAUCUUUGAAUAGAUACUUCAGUUAGAACCAUAAUAUAUUCUUGUGUAUUUUCUUCAGGUUCAGGUUCAGUUUCUGAUGAACUUUUUUCUGAGGUUUCGUCUUUUAAGGAUCUAAUUUGUUCCUUCAUUUCUUGUUGUUCUAUUUUAAGCUGAGAAAGUUCUGAUUUAAUCUGUUUUAUUUCCAACUGUAAUUCAGAGUUUGUAAUUUGUCUUGGUUUUAUUUUUUCAUAUUUAUUAAAUAUUAUAUCUUGUAUAUUAUACAUUUGUGAUUGACUAGAAAUGAUUUCUUUUUCUUUUUCUGGUUUAUCUUUUAAUGGGGAUUUUAAUUUCAAAAGGUAUUCUCUUUUAAGCUCUAGGUCUUGAAUUUUAUCAAUAACUUCUAUCAUAAAUUCUUGAUCUUUAGUUAGCAUAUUAAUUGAAGGUUCAUUCUCAUCUUCAGAAGACUGGGAUGUUGUAUGUAAUUCGUCUAUUUGUAAUUCAUCUGUUUCAGUAGAUGUAUCAUUUUCAGAAGAAGUUGUUUCUAAUAGGAUUUCAUUUAAUUUUUGUUCUAUCUCUUCUUCUAAAUUUAAGUUAUUGAUUUUUCUUUUGAUUUUACAAUAUUUUGAGAUAUGUCCUAAUUUUCCACAUCUAUAACAUUUUAUUGUUUUGUCAAUUUUGUUUUCUGUUUUUUGUUGUUUCUUCCCUUUUCUGUUUUUUUUAUAUUUAGGUUUUUUAUAAUAUUCUGAAAUAUUCUUUUUCCUAUUUUUUGGCUUUUCAGGGCAACAUGUUUUUGAAGAAGAAGGCUCAUUCCUGAUGUCAAAUUGGUGGCAGAAUGAUCCUAAUUCCUUUCUACAUUGAUAUCUUUCUUUCUUGAGUUUUUUUUGUAAUUUUAAAUCUUGGCAAAUUUUUAAUCUUUCUUUUUGGGUGAAACUAAUUAGUUCACCAUAUGUAAGCUUUUCAUAUGGAAUAAUACCUUUGUAAUUUUCUCUUAUUUAAUUCCUAACUUUUUCUCCUAAUAAUGUGGGAAGUCCUGCUAGAAAUUUUUCUUUCCAAAAUAGUUGCUGGAUUUACUCGUCAAUUAAAAGGAUGGUGAGAUCAUGCACUGACUAAAACCCAACAGGAAGAAAUUUUAAAAGCUUAAAUUUUUAUAAAAUUUUUAAAUUAUAUAUUAUAUAUUUUUAAUAAUUUUAGAGUUUUUUUAAAGAUUAUUUUGAAAUUUUUAAAAAGGAUUAAUUUUUUCAUUUUUGAAAUUGAUGGCCACCCAAAGGCAAGGAGUAAUUAUUGUUUACUUUUUUUUAAUUUUUUCAAAAAUUUGAUUAAUUCAAAAUUUAAAAAUGUUUUUGAAUUUUUUUAAACCGAAACAAGUUUUUUUCGCCCCUAUUCAUUGGUGUCAAUUUUAGCCCAAACCUGCUUGAAAGUUUCUGUUUAUUAUUUAAAAUAAUAUGGUAAAUUCUAAGUUUAAUCACUUAUAUUUGCUUAGAAUUACAUUUUGAUCAUUGAACUUUUAAGAAUUGUUAUAUAAUCAUUGAUAUUAUCAAUUUGUUAUAUUAUAAUCACUGAGUCAUUAACUUUUGUUAACGGUGCGAUGACAAAUUGAAUAUCAUCAUUUCUAGCGAAAAAUUUGGAUCAAAUUAUAUAACUAUUCCUUGUAUUUUUUUUUCAAGCAAUUUAACCAAAAUUGAUAUUGGAAGAAUGAAGAUGUCAUGGACUACAAUGAUUUGUGUUGAUGAAAAAGGAUGUUGUAGGCGACUUUUAAUGAAACUAGUUUUUACUUAUGCUCCGCCUUGGGUUAAAUAGUUCAAUUUAAAGGUUACACUAUGUUUCAAGUUUCUAUCUCUAUAUAUUAGGAAUUUGGUUCCUAUAUUUUUAUGUUUGAGAAUUUAGUCCUUCUAUUUUUCGAAUUUAAAAAUUCAAGUUCAUUUGUUAACACUGUUAAAAUUCUUUUAUUAAUUUAUUGGUGUGGCAUUCUAAAAUUUAAAAAGUACUCACUUAAUAAUCAAGUGAAAAAAUGGCAUUAUAAUGGACUUGAUUAACAAAGAAUUCUAAUAAUGUUCACAAUACUUAAAAUUUAUAUCAACAUUUUAAUUAAAAUAAAAUAUUUAGAUUAACUAAUUGCACUAUAAAUGUUGAGGUACCAAAUUCUAUAAAAAAAAUUAAAGUAUAAAGAUUAAAUCUCAAAUUUGAGUAUAGUAUAAGGAUUAAAAUAAAAAUUUGACCUUUUAUAUAAUCUUAAAAAAAAGGAAAUCAUUAUAGAAAAAAAAAAACCAAACAAACAAAGGCCUUCCUUUCAUAUAUUACAUUUGUUGGACUGAUCCAUGCCAUAACCCUUGGGUAAUUAGGUUUUUUCCAGAGAGAUUAUCUCAUGGAAUGCGCAAAAUGGAAGCUUUCAGGACAUUUUUAUCGGCAACUAAAGAAUGGAAUAUAAGGCAAAUCAAAACACAUUGGGAAUUGGUAGUGUCUUACAAUGCAAUUGGUUCAUGUCAACAUAUACAUGGAAAAGUAUUAAGUGGAAUUUUUAAAUUUCAUAAGUAGGAUUAGAGAAUUAAAGAAAAUCUGGUGAAGGCCUACGUUAUUGUUUAACCAGUCAUGGGGAGGGUAAGAUUAAUUCAAUUGACUCUCAAUUAAUCUCGUUACACGAACCAACUUGAAUAGUGCUCAUGCAAACUGAGUAUACUAUACUUUGGUGGUGACUCGUGUAUGGCGUGGUCUUAAAGACAGUAAAGUCUCCUACAACUUUUUCAUACACUUGAUAGGCUUUUCAUACUCAGCCAAAACUAUGCGGUGUACUCUUCCUUCGCUUGAAGAUAUACUAUAAAUAAAUCCUUAGAUACUGCCAACGGGUGGAUACUUUAACGCUAGUAUUGCACCAAUACUCUAACUCGCUAGAAAGUCAGCAGGGUGGCGGAUUAUACUACCCUAGUGCGCCAAAACAGUUUACUUACAUACUUUACUCACUUUUUUGGAUAUGUCGCUUUCGGGGUGUGAUAAAACCACCAUUAAUGGCUCAAUAACCAUAACAUAACAAAUCGAUAAUGUUAGUGAUCAUUUAGUAAUUUUAAAAAAAUGAUAACUAAAAUGUAAUUUUGAGCAAAUAUAAGAGACUAAACUUAUAGUUUACUCAAAAUAAUGUUAAAAUGUUAAAUAUAUUUUAAAAGAUCACAAAUAUAAGCAAUCUAAUUACAAUCAAUAUUAUAAAUUACAAUUUAAUUAAUAAUUAAAAUAUAUCUAAACUUAACACACAUGAUAAGACUCGAACCAUAAUAAAUCACGGAGAAGAAAAACUCACACGUAGUUUACUAAAUUAUGUCACAUGAGUCAAAUAAUUCAUAUAAAAUAUAUAUUUACAAAAGAUUUAGUCUUUAAUUAAUUUAUACAUUUGAGUGGUAAAGAAUUAUGUAAUUAUUUAUCAAUUUUUGGUUCAAACUUUAGACAUUUGAUUUAUUUUUAGUUGUUUUAUUUAGAGAUGAUGUAUAAAAAAGUGAAAAGUAAAAAUUAUUAUAAUAUUAUUUAGGCUUAAUGACAAAUUUGGCCACUAAUGUUUACAUAUUUUAUCAAAAUGAUCUUAAUUGUAUUUUUAAGCCUUUUUUGGCCAUUAACCUUUGUUUUUUUUUUCAAAUUGCUUUUUCUAACAGAUUUGAUGAAAGUUCCAUUAAAAAAAUUAACAGGGAUGAUGUGGAAUAUUUUUAAUGAGAUAUAAUUUAUUACUUAAGUAACCCAAUAAGAUAAUUACAUGUGAAAAAUAAUAAAAUAAAUAAAUCAUACAUGAAAUUAAAAAAAAAUCUUAAUUUAAAGAAAAUAAAUGUAACUAUCUAAAAUAAAUUUCAAAAUGAAAGCAUACCUUUGUUUACCUAGAGGUUUCAAAAAGAUAAUUAAUAGAUUAAACCAAAAAUGCUAAAUGUGUGCAUUCAUUUAUUUUCUUUGUAUUAAGACUUAUUUUUUUUAACUUCAUGAAUUAUUUAUUUAAUUAUUUCCACAUGUAAUUAUUUUAUUGCGUUAUCUAAAUAAUAAAUUACAUCUCAUUAAAACAUCCCACAUAUGAAAUUCGAUAUCAUCCCGUUAACUUUUUUAACGUACUUUCAUCAAAUUUGUUAAAAAAGCUAUUUGAGAAAAAAAAAUAAAGGUUAAUGGCAAAAAAAGGCUCAAAAAUACAACUAGGACCAUUUUGACAAAAUGUGUAAAUGUUAGCGGCUAAAUUUGUCAUUAAGCCUAUUAUUUAUUACUUUUAAAAAAUUUAGUAUUUUCUCUAAUCAAAUUGAUAUCGAAUUGACUCGUGAUAUCAAUUUAGUCAGCCACAUUAUAUAUAAGAUUGAUUAAUAUAUAUAAUAAGCCUUUAACUGAGUUAGUGUCACAGUCAACUGAGUACCAUUUCUAUUGAGAAAUUACUAAAAUAUAGAUAAUUUUAUCUUUUUAUAUUUUAUAAAUAAAUAAAAAUUCAAUCAUAGUAAAAUUCGAAUCAUGACAAAAUGAAUUUUAAAUAUUUAACUUUAUCAUUUCAAUUAAAGUAUUAUUUAAUCUUGUAUGAACUUUUAAUAAAUAUAUUUGUUACAUAAUAUUUUCGCUCACUGAGUGUGCUAUAAUCUAGUAUAUAUAAUUUAUAUUAAUAUUGAGAUAUAUUUAUAUUUUAUUAUUAAUAUGAAUUUGGACAAUAAAAAAUUUCUAAGGUAAGCUAUUCAAAAUGUUUUAUUUAAGUCACUGAACUAUUAGAAAGUUUUUAUUUAAAGUCCCGCUAGCAAGCUCCAAGUAACGCUUUGGCGAUCGAUACAAUAGAUUAAUAAUACCCAUUGACGAGUAGGAGAACAUACCUUAGGUCUAAGUCGAUUUGACGAUAAGUGUCGGAGAUCGAAUAAGAAAAUUGCUUAAAAUUUGGUUCGUAGAUUUGUGAUGUUUAAAAUUAUUUUAUAAAAGAAAAUCGAGUUGUAGAAGAGAAAGGAGACGAGAACUUUUAAUUGAUACGCGAAUAACUAAUGUCAUAUAACAUCAAUUUUAAUAAUUUAACGACUAAACAAAAAUUUCCGUGAUAUUUUAUAAAUUUUUAAAAUUGAAUAAACAAAAAUAAAGUUGCUAAUGGGUAUAGUUUAUCCAAAAUGUUAAUAAUAAUUUGUAUUGUAGAGAGAGAAAAAAACAAACAAAAAGAAUGGAUGAAACCAACGGUGAGAUGAUGCGUGCGGGCCCAAAAUAGAAGACAAAUUAAUUCCUCGUGUAAGUGAACCAAGUUCAAACGAAAGAUCUGCUGUUUUUAUUAGGAAUUUCGAUGUUGACGAGGGUUUUUGCUGCUGCGCUCUCUCUCUCUCUCUCUUUCUUUCUACUUGCCCAUUCCCAUCUUAUCAUUUCAAACCCCCAUUUAACUGUCUAGUUUUUUCCCAUUUCAGGUUAGGCUCUUUUUGCCUACCUUAUUUUUCUCCUUUUAUUUUCUUGGGUUUUCUGUUUGGUUGCUGAGAAACAUCUUAAUGGCAUUGAUUCUGUUGCUGGAUUAUUUCUACAAAAAAUAGAAAAAGAACUUUUCACUUCAAAUUUAGGCCAAAAGCUCGGUUGCAUAUGCAUCUCGUUUGCGGAAUUCUGAUUUUCCUUGUUUCUUACUAUUUCUCUGGAAUCAAACAGUUCAAAAGUUUUGUUCUUCUUUUCAAUUCGUUGAAAAGUAGAUCAUUUUAAAGGUAAUCGAUGUUCUGAUUGAUGGGUGUUGGUUAUUUUGGUAUAAUGAUUGAUGGGUUUGCUUUCGUUCGACUAAAUGUAUAGUUACCUCCUCCAAGUUAGAUGAUUAGUAUUAUAAUUAUCAAGCCUAGUUUAUUUGCAUGGCCAUCUUGAACACAUUAAUGUUAAAGCUUUUUUCUUUUCUUAACGUAAUAUGUAUUCUGAUUGAUUGACAUUGGUUAUUCAGUGAUAAUGAUUAGUUGGUUCUUUUUGUUUGAUGAAAAAAAUUGUAGAUUUUUAUCAGUGAGAUACAAUGGGGAAUUCUUCUUCAAUGCUAACUCAAUAUGAUAUUGAAGAAGUUCAAGAAUACUGCCAGAAUUUAUGUAGGUUGUCUAUAUGCUUGAUUUCCCCUACUGGUUCUUCCAUUUAGUUGUUUUGUUAUCAAAAUUUUGAUGUGUUCUUGGUUGUUGGAGUACAGUCUCUCAGCAGGAAAUUGUUUCAUUGUACCAAAGGUUUUGCCAGUUAGAUCGAAAUGCAAAGGGAUUCAUAUCUGCUGAUGAGUUUCUAUCAGUUCCGGAGUUUGCAAUGAAUCCGCUCUCUCAGGUAGUAGUCUUUCGAGUGUAUGUUAUUGGAGUAGUUAAUUAGAUUCUGGUAUGUAUAUAUAAAUUUGUGGUCCAACUCCAAUGAUAGUCUUUGCGUGCUGUUUUAGAGAUUUAUGUAAAUUUUCGAGUUUGUUUCGUUGGAAUUGUUGCAUUUGCAGAGACUGCUUAAGAUGGUGGAUGGUUUGAACUUUAAGGACUUUGUCGCCUUCUUGUCAGCGUUUAGUGCUAAAGCAAGUGUACAGCAGAAAGUUAAACGUGAGUUCUCACCGACUUUUCUGUAGAGUCAUUGACCUUACUGGUUUAGGUAUAAUCUGAUUUCAGUUCAACGGUCACAAGUAAAAGCAUUUAGAUGAUCACCUUUCGGGUGCCUUAGUAUUGCAACUUGCACAUUGAAGUUGAAAAAUGUUUCAAAAUUAGUUUUAUGUUAUUAAUUUUCUCUCUGUUUCAGUUAUCUUCAAGGUGUAUGAUUCUGACGGCAAUGGAAAGGUGUCUUUCAAUGACAUGCUAGAAGUUUUACGUGAUUUAUCUGGUUCAUUUAUUUCCGAUGUCCAAAGAGAGGUAAAAUUAUUUCUGCCUUUGCAUUUUUUUUUCUUUUUUCUCAUGCAAUUGAAAAGAAAUAUGUAUAUAUAUGUAUAUAUUCACCUGCUUGAUUUGCUGAUGUUGGUCUAGUUUAUGUUCCUUGCUAAAUCUCUCAUGGUAAUUACUGAACAUUUUUUUGAUCGAAGAUGUUUCAAGUAGGGUGUUUGGUGCUGAAAAGAAUGCAUUGGACUAAGUGGCUAGUAGCUAAUGGCGUGAUUUAGUCAUUGCAUCAUAGGACACUGUUUGACUGGUGCCAUUGACUACAGCGUUCUUAAGAUUUUCUUUAAAUUACAGAAUAAGAUUUUCAGAGUUCAACAUCAUUCUGUAAUUUAUUUAAGUAAAUAUUUCCAUUUCGUUUUAGCCUCCAAAUUUUGGUUAUAACUUACUUUUAACAAGAUAAGACUUUUAUAAUUUAAGGAUAGCAUCAUGUAAGAUUAAUUACGAGUGACAUAUGAUAACAUCUUGCUCUUUUGUUCUUUGUUUUUGCAGCAAGUCUUGACCCAACUUUUAAAAGAAGCGGGUUACUCAAAGGACUCUUACCUAACAUUGGAUGACUUCAAUAAGGUGAUUUCCAUUCUAUUUUAUAUUUAUUAUAGUUAUUCAAUUUUCUGUUUUCUGCAAAACAGUUUAAUUUAUUAGGCUGGUAAAAGAAAUUAGUGAUGGGGCGAGGUCAAUAUGAUUAAAGCUGGAGAUCAAUAUAGUCAAUUCAUGUUGGAAAUGUAGAUUAUAAUAAGGAGAGAUUGAUGCAUCUGAAUGUGACACUCACAUUCAAGUCUGAGUAACAUAAACAAUUAGUUAACUAAUAUCAUCAGGAUUAUAUUGCUUUGACACCUGUGGCCAACACAUGUUUGUUCGGACACGGGUAUGAGGGUGUGAUUCUCCAAAUAUAUGGAA